rnacentral:lncRNA from 1 species
GCAUCCCAGAAAUAGGUUGCCCAUGAUUUCCUUUCAUUUAUGAAUAAGCAUGCGAUGUCAAGAAAAAUUUCUUUUUCCAUGUCUCCUAAUGCAUCGUAACUUAUCUUCAACUUAUCCUUGACCUCAUUAAGAGGUGCUUUCUACAACUUUUUGAGCAUUUCUUCCCAUAUUUUUUUCCCUUUGCGAGGAAGAGAGGAACCUAUGACUUCAAGAGCCAAUAGGAGUCCCCUUGUUGAGAGAGACUCUUAUAGGUAUUGGGAGGAGAGACGCUUUUAAAAGCAUGCCAAGUGAAAAGCUCUAGCGCUUUAUUAGGAUCCAAUUGCUUUAAUUAAUAAGCUAAUAUUCCCUCUUCUUCAUCCAGAAUUCGCUUAUCCCUUGUUGUAAUGAUAAUCAUGCUCUCACAGCAAAAAGUGCCGAACCUCCCCCCAAGUGUUCUUUAGUGUCUAGAUCAUCUAGAGCAAUGAGAGCUUUCUUAGAAGCAGCUCUCCUCCUUAUGCUAUCUAUCCCUUCAUUAGUGUUACUAAAAUUUUCUACAAAUCGAGAAUCAUAGAUGUCGACUGUCAAUUGUUUCUGCAGAUUUACUAGGCCAUUUCCUUUUGAUGAUUCUCGGAUUUUUUCAAUGAAGCUGCAUUGGCAGUCAAAGCAAGGACAUAAUUUAUUGAAAAUGAUCUUAGUGAGAGUAGUUUUAAAUACCACCAUUCCAUGGAUUCCAACGAAACACACACCAAUGCUAGAGUCAACAUCUAACAACUUUGUUGUGGCUUCUACUUGCUCGUCUACCCCAACCAAUUUGCUGUCCAUAGGUCUUUGUUUUAGUUUCAUCUUAUGCAGAACUCUGUCACAACGAGAUCAAUGACUUCACCGUAUUUGCCACAAACCAAACACUUUUAGUAAAAGAAAACAAAUAACAAUAUCAACACUACUUCCUAGGAGAUAGAAUUUGAGUUGGAUCACUAUUUCAAGUCUUCGGUUAAAGCCGCAAUAAUUUUGGCGUUAUAGACGCUGCAAGAUACGAUUGUUGUUAUGCCAAUAAACUUACAAUUUCCCCCUAUUUCUAAAAAAGAAGAUGUUUCUUUGUGGUCCAAAUUACAUACAUCAUUCUAGAAUUAGAGCAAAUUCACUCAUAUUACUAUCACUAACCAAACUGGCCCUGCUUAUGUGAGAAUUGGUGAAUUGUCUCUAAUUUUCUUUUCUCCGGGUGGGAAAUGAAAUUUACUAUUCAUAUACCAAAAAUUGGUUGGUAAUAUGAUGCAUCGACCAGUAUAUUUUGAAUCAAAUUUCUUAACCACUCCAGCUAGUUUUCGCUAUCAUUAACAAGAACCCUAAGAGAACAACAUUUCGACUCGCUUGGAAAAUCUUAUGUAAAUAAGCAUUUACUUACGCUUUCUCUUAGACUUCCCAUUCGGAGGCUGUGAUGUCAAAGAAGAUGGGAAGGAUCUCUGGCUUCCUAGUCGACUCGUUGAGCUCCGUCACAUGAGCAAGCUCUCAGAGGCACCAAGCACUUGAAGCAUAGCCUCUAGAGAGGACCGGUAUGUAGAUUUUGGAGUUGCUGACUGCUCUCAAGAGAUCGUUGAUUCAAUCACUAACGUGAAGCUAUUGGGAAAAUAUAACUUCGAAUUGGGUAGAACAAUGAAGUCGGAUCUUUAGAGUAAUCAAAUUGGACUUUGAGGCGUGAUAUCACUUUCUUUAAGAAUUUAUUUGCCCCACAACGUUACUAAUGGUCACCGGUAAAUUUCCUUCAGGAUACAACAAAGUCUCACAAUGAGAAUACUGGAUAGCAAUUUUAGUAUUUCUAUAGGGUCUCUAUAGGAAACAAUUGAAAUGAUAGCUAUAGUUUUUUUCUCAGAAAGAAUGCUUGAAAAGAUAAAAAUGAUCACAUACACGUUUUUUCUGAAAACUGACAUGUAUAUAUAAAACAAUCUUAAAACAUAGGCAACUCUUCGUGAAAAAUUACAAAAAUGAACGAACGCGUCCUUUCGAAAAAUUGCCCAUAUGAACAAAGGCGUCUAUCAGAAGAAGUUGAAAAAACGAACAAAUGUAACCCUUUUGGAAAAGUUACAAGUAUCUUUUUCUAAAGGUUGUUUUGAAAAGACACAAUUAAAAAUUUGAAAUAAAAAUUAUUAUAAUUAUUAUUUGUUUAAUAAAUAAAAUUUCCAUAUUUUUUUUAAAUUUUCGAAAUUCUCAAUAAACAAAAACAACCUUUGAAACCCCAAUCAUUUGCGCACCCGCACGUGGGUAUGGUGGGGUCUAACCCACAUCAAAUCAUUUCUUUGGGUACACUAAAUAAAAUGCCACAAUUAUUAAUUGGCUCACUUUCUUCCACUUUUCCUAUGUGAGAUGAGGAAACAUGCACUUAGUUUGUUUUUACAAACAAACUUCUAGCAGAAGCUCUUCACUAUCUCUAUAGGCGACGAUCCCCUGGCCGACCAUGGUCCGAUAGAGGCAGUUGGUGAAGGUGUUGCAAGUGUCAGGGCCUCUAAAACUCAGAGGCACAUCAUAUUGGGUCGUUGAUGUGCCCAAACCACGGGUCGCUUCCAUAUUUUUUUGGGGUUUACCCUCACAAAAGGUCUCUCCGUCUCGCUCUGGUUUUUGCUUGGAGCUGCGUCUUCGGUUGUAUUAAAAAGUGGGAAUCAUGUGAAUGCAUAAACCGAUUUCAAGGAAUCCGUCAAAGCCUCUUCCUUGAAAUGGACCUCUCACCCGCAAGCAAGAAUGGAUGUUCCUGGAUCGGCCAUCGAAGCUUAAAUUAAAAAAGAAACGACCCUCAAAACGUCCUUGUACAGACAAGACUCAACUCCCUGUCAAGCACGAAAAUAUUCCCAAGUAAAAUAUUUUUAGGCCUAAUUCCAUAUUAAAGCACCGACUUCGCAUGAAAUCAAGCAAACCAUUACUAGCAGCUGAGAACAACAGAUAUUCCUUGUAGACUACUCGAGCAGUAACCAGAACAUACAUAGUAACUGCCCAAAUAUCCAAGAGAGUUGCGGAACUUGUUACUAAAGACCAGAGCACACCAAUUCAGGUUCGGCUAAACUGAAGGAAUGUUUCUUCAUGUGCAAUGUUCACAUCCAACUUGGAAUACACCUUCAUGUACGAAAAAAGCACUAGUAGCGUAUUUUGUGCUCUGAGAAUUGAUUUUAGACAUGAUCUGAAAAUAGGGCAUCUUUGAUUACUUCAUGGUGUGGGAAUAUCCAACAAAUUGAAGAAAAUUAAGAGUCGAUUCCAAACGCUAGGAGAAAAGGGAGCCUCAAUAAUCAGAAAAUUUUAAGGAGGAUUGAAACAUGGUAAAACGCCACUAUCGAGUUCCUAAUUUUAGAGAUCGAUGGAAACCAGAAAGAGGGGCUGUGAUUGAUAGAUGCGAAAGAGAGAAAUUAUGGUGACGCCUGUUGGAGAAAUCCUCGUUAAGAGUUUUGAAGUUGACAAAACGUUUCCAUCAGUCUAGUCUGAAGGUCAGCAGACUCUGUUGGUUAAAGUCUAAAGACUUCCGGACAGCCAGACUCAAGACUCAAAGUCUAUCCUCAUUGACAGUCACUGAUCCGUUGAAGAAAGGUUAUCCCGAACUGAAUGUUUUGUUCAGGAUUUAACCUUAUCAUCUGGAGAAGAUCUCAUGGCUGGAGAAGACGUAUCAGAAUCCUUUGAUUGAUCAAAUUUGAUUCAAUGACUGAAGAUUCGAUGAUUGUCUAAAUAUUAUUGGAAGGUUCUACUUAUGGAAACCGAGAUCUUGAUUGUAUGGGCGAACAGGAUUGAUGGGCUAUCAACACGUUCCUUUAAUAGCUCGAAUGAUCUUCCUAAUUGAUUCCGUCCAACGGGUAGAUUGGAGGAAUUCCUUUGGAAAGUGCCAACGGGUAUGAUGGCAUAAAGGAGUAUAUAAGGAAGACGUUCUUAGUUGUUUAAGAAGUGUGCGCGAUAGAAGAAUUCCAAAGUCUGAAGCUCCUAUUUGUUUAGAUAAAUCUCUUGAGCGAAUACUUGUAUACAAAAGAGAGUAUAUAUUUGUGAGAGACCUUGAGGAGGUGUGAUAGAACAUCUACACUGUGGAAUCAAGGCAAAGUUGUGCUGUAACUUCUCUUUUGAUCAUAGUGAAAUCCAGCCGGUGGGCUGUCAGUGCGGAAGAGUGGACGUAGGCUUGGAAUAAGCCGAACCACUAUAAAUCCUGUGUUUGAUUUUCUCUUCCUUACUCUCUCUACAUCGAUCAUAUUUCAAUCUGUUGCUUCCGUAUUUGAGAAAAAUUGUUUGUGCGCCUAUUCACCCCCCCUCUAGGUGUUUAUACUAGCAAUAUCAAUUGGUAUCAGAGCCUGUGUACUUACUUUAUUUGAAGUGUAUUACUUCAUAGUAAAAGAUCCAUGGCUAGUAUGCUAGCACCAGGGCUGAUGGAAGGGCAAAGCAAUACCAGACCACCUUACUUUGAUGGAAAGGAUUACAACAUCUGGAAGAACAAGAUGAAAGCUUUCCUACGAUCAAAGGAUCCUCUGGAAUGGGACGUUGUAGAAAAAGGAAUUACUCCUACCACUGCAUCAGUCUCUGAAAGAGGAAAAGAAAUUGAAGAAUCCAGCGGAAUGUCUCAGGAAGAAAUAACCAAGAGACAGACACUCGAUGCAAAAGCAAUUUAUUCCUUAUAUUGUGCUUUAUCACCAACUGAAUAUAAUAGAAUAUCUUCUUGUGGUACAGCAAAAGAAGUUUGGGACAGAUUGCAUAUCACCUAUGAAGGAACAGAUCGAGUGAAGGAAACAAGAAUCAACAUUCUUCUCGGUCAAUACGAAGCCUUCAGAAUGAAGCCAGGAGAAUCAAUAUCUGACAUGUUUAGUCGUUUUACAGAUAUUGUAAAUGGUCUUGAAAAUCAAGGUCAACCAACUUCUGAUCCCAUGAAGGUAAACAAGCUACUGCGUGGACUCUCCAAGGAUUGGAAUCACAUAAAGACUUCGAUAAGAGAGACGCAGAGAAUUAUGCCACUAUCUGUCGAUGAGCUGAUUGGAACUCUUCAGUCCUAUGAAGUGGAAAUGAUCAAUGAAGAUGAAGAUCCGAGAGGUAAGAAAUCCAUUGCAUUAAAAUCAAAUGAUGAUUCUGAUGUUACAGAUUCUGAAGAAGAUAUGGACGAUGAGGAGCUUGCUCUCAUGAUAAGAAGAUUCAGAAAACUAAACAGAAAAGGAAGAAGGUUCAACUCAAAGAAACAAGGCUUUCAAAGAUAGCAGACCAAGUCUGUUGAUGAUGAGGAACCAAACAAAGAUGUAGUCUGCUUUGAAUGCAAGAAAAAGGGACACAUCAGACUCAACUGUCCUCUUUUGAAGAAAAAGAAAGGAAAAGCUGAAAAAUUUCGAAAAGCUCUCAAAGCUGAAACCUGGAGUGAUACUGAGUGUGAAGAAAGUGAUAAUGAAUAUGCCAAUCUAUGUCUGAUGGCACAAUCAAACUCAGACUCUGGAUCAGACUCAGGAUCAGACUCAGACAGUGAAUUUGAGGCAAGUAAUUUUAAAAUUCCUGUCAAAGUUUCUAAAUAUAUUGAGGAACUAUGCGUUAGUCUUAAGACUUCUCUCAAAAGUAUUUCCAAACUAAAAAAGGAAAACUUAGCCCUAAAACAAAAGGAAAAUGUUUUAGCAGAAAAAGUUAAAAGUCUAGACUUGUCUGUUUCCAAUCUUAAAGAAAGUGAAGAAAAUCUUUUAAAAGAAAAUGCUUUCUUAAAAACAGACUUAUCUAAUAUAUCAAAGAAAUUUUCUAUGGGAUUUGAAAAACUUGAGAAAAUUCUUUCAGCACAAAGACCUUACUUCAAUAAGUCUGGUCUGGGUAUGACAGAAGAAACAAUUCCCUUGAUUGAUUUUCCUAAAGUAAAAGAAAGAAUUAAGAAAAGGCUUUCGAGUGAGGUUUACAAAAAUCACGUCAAGAAAGUCUUUGUAAAACCUGUAGGUAGAAAUGCUCUCAGAUGUUCUAAGUGCAACAGUCCGGAUCACUUUGAAAAAGAGUGUCCUAUGGUAUGGAAACCUAUUAAGAAAGUAUGGGCUAAAACUGUUUAUCUUACUAACACCAAAGGACCCAAGAAAAUUUGGGUACCAAAGAAAGCUUGAGACUCUUUGUUAAAUGCAGGUCUCCAUCAAGAAACAGGUAAAGUGGUAUCUUGACAGCGGAUGCUCAAGACACAUGACAGGAGACUCAAAUUGUUUUAUAAAGCUUGCUCAAGUAAAUGGUGGAAAAGUUUUAUUUGGAGGAAAUAGCAAAGGAAGUAUUGUGGGAUUUGGAACCGUGAAAAUUGGCACUCUCACAAUAAGUAAUGUCUCCUUAGUGGAAGGACUCAAUUACAAUCUUCUCAGCAUUAGUCAAUUGUGUGAUACUGGUUUCAAGAUCUCCUUUCAAGAAGGAACAUGUUCCGGAAUCAGUAAAGACUCUAACAGAUCUCUUCAAGAAAUGGCUAGAACUCUUUUAAUUGAAAGUAGAAUUUCUUCUCGAUUUUGGGCAGAAGCUGUUUCAACAGCUUGCUAUAUCAUCAAUAGAGUUUUCUUAAGAUUUAUUCUUCAGAAAACCCCUUAUGAGUUAUUCAAAGAAAAGAAGCCUAUUGUUUCAUACUUUCAUGUAUUUGGUUGCAAAUGUUUUAUUUUGAAAAAUGCAAAAGAUCGAGUUGGUAAGUUUGAAGAAAGAUCAGAUGAAGGUAUCUUCCUUGGAUAUUCUAUAUCAAGCAAAGCUUACAGAGUCUAUAACAAGAAGAGCCAGACUGUGGAGGAGUCAAUGAAUGUCAAAUUUCAAGACUCAACGCAAGAUGAAUCAAGUCAGACUCAUCAAGAAGAGUCUGAACCUGCUACAGACCCUCCAAAGUCUACAACCCAAGAAGCAUCUCAGACUCUGGAAAACCAGCUUCAAGAUGUUCGUGAAGAUCUAAACAAAGAAAGAAAUCAUCAACCAGACAAAUCAACGAGUAACUGGAAGCAUAAGUCUAGUCAUCCCAAAGAUCUUAUAAUCGGCGAAAUUAAUGAAGGAAUUCGCACCAGAUCCAAAAGGCGAGAAGAGUCUAGUGCUGUGGCACUCGUUUCUGAAAUUGAACCAAAGAGCAUAGAAGAAGCUUUAUCUGAUGAAAGCUGGAUUGAAGCUAUGCAAGAAGAGCUCAGACAGUUCAGCAUAAAUGAUGUCUGGAAAUUGACAUCCAAACCUAAAGGUAAAACUGUUAUUGGAGCUAAAUGGGUUUUCAGAAACCAGAUGAACGAGAAAGGAAAAGUCGUACGAAAUAAAGCAAGACUCGUGGCCAAGGGAUAUACGCAAGAAGAAGGAAUAGACUAUGAUGAGACUUACGCUCCAGUGGCAAGGUUAGAAGCUAUUCGACUAUUACUUGCGUUUGCCUGCUAUAAGAAUUUCAGGUUAUUCCAAAUGGACGUAAAAAGCGCCUUCCUAAAUGGAUUUAUCCAUGAGGAAGUAUAUGUGGAACAACCACCAGGGUUUGAAGACCCAAAGAAGCCAGACUCAGUCUUCAGACUGAAAAAGGCUUUGUAUGGUUUAAAGCAAGCACCUCGGGCUUGGUACGACAGAUUGAGUAAGUUUUUAAUUCAAAAUGGGUUUUGUCAAAGGUAAAGUAGAUACGACCUUAUUUAUCAAGAAGGAAAACAAAAGUUUCUUACUUGUUCAAAUAUAUGUGGAUGACAUUAUUUUCGGAUCCGCUAAUGAGAAUCUGUGCAGAAAUUUUCUAGUCUAUGCAGAUGAGUUUGAAAUGAGUAUNNNNNNNNNNNNNNNNNNNNNNNNNNNNNNNNNNNNNNNNNNNNNNNNNNNNNNNNNNNNNNNNNNNNNNNNNNNNNNNNNNNNNNNNNNNNNNNNNNNNAAAAUAUGUGAAUGAUCUUGUCAAAAGGUUUGGACUGGAGAAUUGCAAAAAGGUCGACAUUCCAAUGUCAAGUUCUUUAAAGAUAGACAAAGAUGAAGAAGGGAAGAAAGUUGAUCAAAAGCUGUACAGGAGCAUUAUUGGAUCACUUCUUUAUCUUACUGCCUCUAGACCUGAUAUUUUGUUGAGUGUUUGCAUCUGUGCUAGGUUUCAAUCAGAUCCUAGAGAAUCUCAUCUCAGUGCUGCGAAACGCAUCAUUAAAUACGUCGCUUCAUCAUCAAGCAUCGGUCUUUGGUAUCCUAAGAAGGGAGACUUUAAUCUUCUGGGAUAUUCAGACGCAGAUCUGGCCGGUUGCAGAGUUGAUAGAAAGAGCACUUCAGGAACUUGCUAGUUGCUUGGAAGCAGGAUAUUGUCUUGGUUUUCAAGGAAACAAAGUACUGUGUCUCUUUCAACAACAGAAGCAGAGUAUGUAGCUCUUGGAAGCUGCUGUUCACAAAUUCUAUGGAUAAAACAACAGCUAAGAGAUUUUGAAAUCGAAGACUCAUGCACAGAGAUUAAUUGCGACAACACCAGCGCUAUCAACCUCACCAAAAAUCCAAUUCUCCACUCAAGAGCGAAGCAUAUAGAAAUUCGACAUCACUUUAUUAGAGAUCACGUUCAAAAUGGAGAUGUUUCAAUUCAAUUUGUUGACUCAAAGAAUCAGCUGGCUGAUAUACUCACGAAGCCUUUGGAGAAAAAUCAAUUUGAGUCUAUACGGACCAGACUCAAUAUUUUGAGGCAUGAGGAUAUCAAAGUCUAAAGACUUUCAGACUCAGGCUUACAAGACUUUAUCAACAGUCUUGUCUCGACCUUCAGACUGUAAGUCUUUCUCUCUCCAAUCUUAUCUUGAAAAGGUACGAUCAUCAGACUGUGUUUAAAAUUGUUGCUAUAUUUAAUUAACAUAAAUAUUGCAUCGAUUCAUUUUCAAAAGGGAAGUUAUUUUUUGAAAUAACUAUUUUUGCGGAUAAAGACAGUUAUUUUGAAAAGGCAUAUUUUUAUUUCCUUUGUGACGGUUUGUUUACUCUUCUUUUUAACCGAACGAGCACUGUCGAUUUCUCUUCACUUUUCUACUCUCUCUCAAAAACCCUAGAAAGCAUCGAUCCUCCAUUCCCGUUUGUCUUCUUCGCUAAAUCUUCAAAAAGUUGUCAUCUUUUCCGGGAAAGUCAAGCAAGGAAACUUCCAAACACUGUUAAAGAUGUCUUCUUCACGAAAGUCGUCAAGAAUCGCAAGCAGGGGACCACAGAGAAUGAGUGAGGGGCCUACGCACUUCGAUCUUACUGAAGAUGAAGUUUCUCCAGAUCAGCAACCGAGCCCACAACAUUCUCAGCAGCGUCAUUCUCCAUCAUCUAGUCCUCAAGGCGUUGUUCAUCAGGAAGAAAUCAUCGAGGAAGCAGACCCCGUAAGAGUUCAAAAGCCUGCUUUUAUCUACAAGCUAUAUCGUGCUUUAAAAGGAAUUCGUACUCCUUUGAACUAUGUUGAUGAUUUUGUUAAAGAAAAAGGAUAUAGGAACGAAUAUAUCUUUCUGAAAAGAAUGGAAAGUUUGGGAAUCGCUCGUAAAGGGGUGGCUGAGGAAACCCUUGCGAAUAUCCCAAGUGAUCCUCGUGACUGGGGGCCAAAUCCUGUAGAUGGGAAUGAUGAUGACAAUCUGUUCAGUCUAUUUCAACCGAAAAUGGGUAUUGCGGCUGAAAUUCAAGGAAAAAGGGGAGAUUUGUUCAGAUCAAAGGAACAAAAGGAUCUGUACUCGAAAUUGCUGAAGCGUGGGGUAAUAAACCCUAGGAGUGUGGACUUUGAUUUUCUGGAUGCUGUGAAAGUGAACUUGAGGGAAAAGUUCAGUUAUCUUCAACUUGAAAAGUUUUGCUCUGACUCUACUGAGGCUUAUGCAGAAUUGACUGCUUACUUCUAUUCAAAUCUUAGCUUUUUAGAUGCGAAUAGAUUUUCCUUCAGUGUCAAAGAACAAGACUAUGUUGUGGAUAUGGAUAUGCUGGCAGAUGUGUUAGAAGUUGAGAGAGGCAGAUAUCAACCGAUUAAAGUUUCCAUUGCUGGGGCUACACUUGAACUGGUGAAGGACAGGAGAACAGAUGAGAAGAUCACUUACUCACGGAUGAAUGCAUUCAACAUCUUGCUUCACAAAAUUGUGAUCAAUUGCCUUCGGCCGAAAUCAACUUCCAAAACUGAUGUGUCAAGUUCUGAGGCAAAGUUGAUGUAUGCCAUCCUCUGUGGUAAGAAGUUUUCUCUCCCUCAUACUGUUAUGUUUCAUAUGUAUAGAGUAGUGAUGAAGGACAGAGGUCAACUCCCUUACCCAAGCCUUGUUACGAAGUUAUUUAGACAUCUGAAUAUUCAGCCUCCGCAAAUCUUUUGUGUUCGAUCAUGCGAUCAUAUGGNNNNNNNNNNNNNNNNNNNNNNNNNNNNNNNNNNNNNNNNNNNNNNNNNNNNNNNNNNNNNNNNNNNNNNNNNNNNNNNNNNNNNNNNNNNNNNNNNNNNNNNNNNNNNNNNNNNNNNNNNNNNNNNNNNNNNNNNNNNNNCAUCAAAGACUCGUUGAGGAUGAAGAUGAUGACGAUGACAUCACCAUCUCCGCAAUGGCUUUGAAGAACUUAAGUCGUCCUGUUCCACAGAAAGAAUCGGAACAAAGGACGAAAGAAGCAGAGGAGAAGGAAGAAGAAGAAAGAGAAGCAAAGGAGAAGGAAGAAGAAGAAAGGGAAACAGAGCAAGAAGCAGAGCAAGAAAGACCUGAAGAAGAAAGAAGAGAAGGAGAACCUGAGGAAAUCUCUUCUCCACCUGUAGGCAUGAAAACAGGGGGAGUUCAGGAGAAAGGAGUGACAUCUUCAUUUCCAGAUGAAAGUGAAGGAGUUAGUCACUCGCCUGCAGACCCAGAAGAUGUUUAUGCCUCUCAAUUUCCAGAGGAAGGUCAUGAAGCUUCAUCGCCCAACCUGCGAGAUUAUGCUGAUCCACCAUCGUCUGCUUUUACUCCAUCAGAACGAGCAGAAGCAAGUACUCAGACUGAUAAUGGAGCAGAUUUUCGCAGAAUCAUGGAUAUUCUCUUGGAGAUGAAAGGUCAGAUUUAUGCCUUGGGAUGCGAAGUUCAAAGCUUGAAGAAUGAAGGUCAAGCUUCUUCCUGUUCAUUAAAUGAAAAGAUGCAAGCCCUCUCUAUUCAGAAUCAGGCCAAUGCCAAGAGUGAGGAGGUUGUACAGCUAAAGGAAGACUUUAAGAGGCUGGAAGGCAUUGUUCAGUCUAUGGAAGAUUUCUAGCUUGUCCGCGUUCCCAAGCAAUCUUAAUUUCAUCUCAUCCUUUUUAAAUGAUGACAAAAAGGGGGAGAGAUGCAUGAUUUGAAAACUUUCAAUCUUUUUUAACUGUUUGUUGGAUUGUGUUUAACUGUCUGUUUGUUUUUGACAGACUUUGACUUUGUUUUGUGUCUGGAUAAGAACUGCCUAGACUUGGACUUGACUUUACUGCUUUUAUUAAUCAAUAUUGAUAUCUUAUGAAUGGCUUAAUCAUAUACUGGACUAACCUAUUUUCUGUGGUUGCAGAUUCUAGUGUUAUUCUAUUAGCCAUUUAUUUCUAUAAGAUAUGCAUAUGUGGUUGAGAAAUGUUUUGCAGGUCAAAGUUAUCCAAAUCUGCAGGAAGGUUUUGUCACCAUCAAAAAGGGGGAGAUUGUUGGAGAAAUCCUCGUGAAGAGUUUUGAAGUUGACAAAACGUUUCCAUCAGUCUAGUCUGAAGGUCAGCAAACUCUGUUGGUUAAAGUCUGAAGACUUCCGGACAGCCAGACUCAAGACUCAAAGUCUAUCCUCAUUGACAGUCACUGAUCCGUUGAAGAAAGGUUAUCCCGAACUGAAUGUUUUGUUCAUGAUUUAACCUUAUCAUCUAGAGAAGAUCUCGUGGUUGGAGAAGACGUAUCAGAAUCCUUUGAUUGAUCAAAUUUGAUUCAAUGACUGAAGAUUCGAUGAUUGUCUAAAUAUUAUUGGAAGGUUCUACUUAUGGAAACCGAGAUCCUGAUUGUAUGGGCGAACAGGAUUGAUGGGCUAUCAACACGUUCCUUUAAUAGCUCGAAUGAUCUUCCUAAUUGAUUCCGUCCAACGGGUAGAUUGGAGGAAUUCCUUUGGAAAGUGUCAACGGGUAUGAUGGCAUAAAGGAGUAUAUAAGGAAGACGUUCUUAGUUGUUUAAGAAGUGUGCGCGAUAGAAGAAUUCCAAAGUCUGAAGCUCCUAUUUGUUUAGAUAAAUCUCUUAAGCGAAUACUUGUAUACAAAAGAGAGUAUAUAUUUGUGAGAGACCUUGAGGAGGUGUGAUAGAACAUCUACACUGUGGAAUCAAGGCAAAGCUGUGCUGUAACUUCUCUUUUGAUCAUAGUGAAAUCCAGCCGGUGGGCUGUCAGUGCGGAAGAGUGGACGUAGGCUUGGAAUAAGCCGAACCACUAUAAAUCCUGUGUUUGAUUUUCUCUUCCUUACUCUCUCUACAUCGAUCGUAUUUCAAUCUGUUGCUUCCGUAUUUGAGAAAAAUUGUUUGUGCGCCUAUUCACCCCCCCUCUAGGUGUUUAUACUAGCAAUAUCAACGCCAAGUAAUCAGAUGGAGAUGGGGAUGGCGAUGACGAACGUGCUGAUGGUGGUGUCGAUCUGGAGCAGCGGCUGUGGCUUUGUGGGGGCGACAUAGAGGCGGUGGCAGGGUGAUGAUGGUACUGAAAUUAGGGUCAGAUUAGGAUUAAGUCGAGACUUUUCAUUAUCUUUAUUUUUAUUUUUUUGUCGAAAGAAACCUUGGUAUUAUUUAAACUCGAGUUCUUAAACGAGAGUUCUUUUUCUUUGUAUUGGUGUUUGUGACCAGUGGUAUCAUGAAGACUAUUUCCAACGACUGAGGUGUUCAGGCAGCCGGCUGUGGCGAAACCUCUCCUAUAUGUCGAAUUUGCUCCUGCAUCACCGAACUUGAUUGUUGUCGGUAAAAUAUUUUCAUCAUACAAUACAAGCGCUCAUCAACAUGUCAUUAAUAAAAGCACUUGGAUUUACCAAACUUGGUCCCAUAAUAAACAAACAAUAACAAAGCAAAAUGCACAUUCCGUGGCGAGCCUUUUGAGUGCAUCCAAUCUUAAUUGAUUGCAAAUCGUGUAGAAGUCCUAUGCACCUAUCUACACUUCAUAAAAGCAGAAACUUGUCAUUGGAGAUGCCGUGUCAUCGUCAACAUCUUUGUUUCCUACCUUUCUUUCGAACGGGAAAUAUACAACAUGACAUGAUAUUUACAAUUCCCGGAUAAACAAGAAGGGGUUAACGCAAGCAGAAUAAAGACGCCAUAAAAUCAGUUGCAGCCCAAGACCACUCGCGAGGACAGUCAAUCUUCUCCAAUUUACUAGAUGGCCUUCACUGCCAAAGGCAUGCUCAUCUGGCAGGAAAAAAACAUCACACCGUAAGCCUGGCGCCGCCACGAGAGUGUUUGCUGGUCAUCAAUAUGCCGCUGACCACUGAGCGGUUCAAAGAGUUGCAGCAGCAUUGCGAGUGCACUAACAACAAUAUAAGUAGAGGAAAACCUAUGAUGACAUCAACACCAGAGAAACCUGAAUAUUGCUCCAUUCUGUCUCUCCUAUCUGAAUUUCUAGCAUAAUGACUAAACAGCGCGUUGUUUAAUGUUCAAGAGCAUUCUCAAGGACCGUCAAUUUUCCUAAGUUCUAAUAUAUGCUAAGGGAAACUGCAAUUACGGUUGUUUUCAUGGCAUGAUGAUCAAUUGCACCUACUUCUUCCCUAGGGAAAGACAAAUUAAACCAUGGCGUACCAAUUAAUCACUAUGGGUAACUCAUUCAAAAACUUUCAGGACGAUCAGGUGGAAAUAUUGAAGCUUAUGUAGAAAACUGUAAAAUGUGAAGAGUUUGUAGGUGAAUUGGGAAACUGACUGUAGACCCUAUAAACACGUGGACUAUCUACUCCAAUUUAAAAGUUUAGUGCAGACUGUUAGAAGUUAUAAAUUUAGUGAGUAAACAGUAGAAAGGUGGUAAGUUAAUGAAGUUAUUUUGCCAUUAGGCCAAAAGAUGAAUACUCCCACUAGCAAUGCAACAGCAAAAUAACAAAGUGUAAAAUUACCUUCAGCAGUGGACCAAAGGCGAUGGCCUAGCAAAACCUUAUGAUGAUAUGUUGUCGUCAUGAGGCGAUGCAAGACCAGAAGAUGUGGGUGGCUUCCUCACAAAGGGAUGGUCUAGCAACUGUGCUGCAGAAGGCCGAUUAUUUGGGUUCACUCGCAAGCAACUGAGGAUGAAGUCUCGAGCAUCUCUCGAUAAAGAAUCAGGAAUUGGAGGAAGUUCACCCUUGCCAAUUCUGAACAAUGCUUGCAUCUGCCACAACAAGAAAGAAAAUGUAGCAGAGGCUAGUGUUAAUCAUAAAUCCAGGGGGAACUAACAUGUGAUAGCUGCAUUAAUCAAUAAGAUCUGUAGACAAAUCUAAGUGUGCUUCAGGCAAUCAUCUGUCACAGUUAUUGCUGAAGUAGGAGACCGCGGAUGACAUAUAACAGUUCACAGGGACCAACUACUGCCAAUAAAGCGUAAGUAUCUACUGCUUUUUGCUCAAAUUUUUAAGUGUCCUAAAUUAACAAAAAAGUAAAAAAGAAAAGGGCGUUAGUUGCAUGUUUUACAAUGGCUUUGAGUAGGAUGGUAUUAUUUUUUUCUCAUUAUAAUAAAUAAACCCAAGAUGCGCACGAAAGCAGUGCAACCUUCACAACUCACUCAGCAGAUAAGAGCACUCCUAAUUUCAGCAGCAGCCAUUCUAUCAACAAAAGAGCAUUUCCACACUGUGAUGCCUAGAAAGGAUAGCAUCAUAAGGUGAUUUACUGGCUACAGUCAGCAAUUACCAUCCCAAAUGGAAAACUGACUACUCAUAUGGGGAGGUAAUCAUUAGUAUCGAAAGUAACUAAAUCUAGCAUAGGAGACAACCAUUUAGGCCAAUGAUCACUAUAGAGGAGAUCAACAAUCGAGGGCAGUGAGGGAAACGCCAAGGUUGACAAUGCAGAGACUUGGGAAUCACUCAAGUCAUAUUUGCCAUAAAGCAUUGCAAGUGAACCUUUGGUCAUGAGCUCAAGGAAUAGGUAAAUCUUCUCAUCAUCCUGGAAGAGAGUAAAGAAAAUUAUAUUUAACACAUAUCCAACCCAAAAUUUAAGUUAUUAAGUGGUGGAUGAUGGAAAUGUAUAUAAGGCACAUUGAAAACACAUAAAUAAGCUCUGUUGAAUAUUUUAAGACCUAAUCUAAAGUGAAAACUGGUCUGAGAAGUGCACACGGAAUUGAUGAAAAAGAGCCAUGCACGGAAAUAAAUUAAGGCAGAACAUAGCUCCGAAACCAUGUCCGAAUGCAAAGGUUAAGCUGCUAGUUGGAAGGAGUCUACAUAAAUAUAAGACCAAUCAAAACCCCAUAAGUUAACAAUAUGGAGUAUUUUAACAAGAUUCAUUAAGAACAGCCAUACCAAAGAGCAAAUAAAAAGAAACAAACUACAUUGGUGAUGUUAACGUUUUAUUCAUCCUAAUGAAGCUAGAUGUCUAGGCCUCUUAUAACAUCUAACUACUCAUUGGAUCAUGACAACACCCUUCCCAUAAUGUACCAAGGCAAGGAUCCCCUAGACAAGGCCCUGAGGUUAGUUAUGCUUCCUGAAGGCAUUAAGUACCUUUUCAAUAACUGAUCAGUGCUUCGUAAGAAUCUGUUUGAUUGGUGUUAAUUUAGUAAAUGUUUACAUCAGAUCACAAAUUAAAAGCAAUACUGUGAACUUAAAAGGAAAAAUAAGGCAAGAACGCAUGGUACCGAGCUCUUCUUUUUGUUGGUUUCCGCAUACAACACAAAUAUCCAAGUUAUAAGUGUUCACCACGAUUUUAAAUUGCAGCAGUCCCUAAAAAAAAAAAACAGUUGCAUGCACCCGGUGGAAGAAGUCGUAUUGCAUUAAUCCCUCAUCCCCACAAAACAAAGUGGUGGAUUGUAGGUGUAGCAAACCAAAUUUUGUUUGCCAGCAACAAUCUUUUGCAUGUUUCAUCUCCAACAAAAGGCUACGUCAUGGCACAUUCUUAGAAUUUGAUGCUUCUUGCGAAGCUAUGUUUAGAAAAAAAAAAUAACCAGAAGGUACUUCAACAUUAAAGCCACUAAGCUAGGAUAUACUUCCCUUACUUGAACAAUGAUCAUUUCCAUUUUCAGUUUUCUCUAAUUGUAGAGGUAAAGAACUAUACGAUGCUGCAUAAAAAUGAGUGUAACUAAAUGACGCUGGACUAGAAUCGAUGGAAAAAUUGAGCUUGCAGAGGAACUCCAUUGUUGUUGCUACAGCCACGACCAGUUAUAGAAGAGGGAGGAAAGGCAGGUGCUUUAGUCAUGUGGACCAUCAGAUGGUCAAUUAAAGGAUAUCUAAUGAACUAAAUGACUUCACUUGCUUAUCCUUUUUCGCCCUUAUGUCUUAUUAGUCGGGGCUGCCGUUUCUCAAAGCCUCAGAUUCCUGUUUAUUAUUCCUGAGAGUUUGACCUGAAUCUUCAGUUUGCAAGAUGAAUAAUUCGUAAAACAUCUACCACUAUAAAAACAAAGAUUUGAUUACAUGACAGGCUCACUUUAAAUGGGAAAUUUUUUUUUGCUUUCAUAUAUAUAUAUAUAGAGAGAGAGAGAGAGAGACCAUAAACUGACGUCUACUCUGCAUAUAUUCUUUACUCAUAUAAUUACUAUCUCAGGUAACAGUCAAUUCAUCACGAACUUUUUAUGUGGUGGGAGAGGGACCUAAAAUGUCUUCGUCUGCCAUGAAAGGCUGUUACUGCUAAAAAGCCGCAAAUGCUGUGAUCUUAGACAUGCAGCGAUGAUGACGCUACAGCUAUCUUGUGGCUGCAACCACAGCCAUGCUCACCUAAACAUUUUGCUCAGUUCCGGUGAUAUCAUAAUCGAUGCCAAAGUGAAAGAUGCAGAAAGAAACUUAGAAAGAAGGAGUGCACACCUUCUCAGUGCCGUAAUAUCGAACUAUGUUGUCAUGUCGAAGCUGACUUAAAAGAGAAAUUUCCUGAAAAGAAAGCAGAGUAUCACUAAAAAAAAAAAGGAGUCAAAAUAAGAUCAACUGAACUCAGACCAGAUUUAUGGUUGGAUACAAUGGCAGUCUUAUAAAUAAUUUUGCUAUAUAAAUCAGCUUGGCAGUUAUAAGAAAGUGAUUAAUCAAGUAGUCAUGCCUAGGGACCAGUUGACAAGAUACAGAAAGACAAGCUAUUACCUGCUCAAGAUACAAUAAGCUUUGGCAUCCUUGAUCUAACAAAUAAACCUCCUUUACAGCGAAAAAGGUUCCAUCACUGUGGAAACAGAAAAGCAUGAGAGAAUAAAUGCCAAUUCUUUCGUGAAUGAUGCCAUGACCAGACAUAGUCAAGAUAAUAUUGCAAUCCAGAUGAUAUAAAGAAAGAAAAGGAGUUGCUCUCUUCAAUAUAAGUAAAAUAGUUCCCUAGCUUUCAGCAUUUGAAUUUACAAUCAAAUAACAGUUUCCAAAGCAUGUUUUCCGUAUGCGCUUAUUUAUCACACUAUCCAUUCUUCAAAAAAAGAAAAAAAAAUUACUCACUAUUCAAGCUAGUAAUGUUACAGAAAAACAAUGAACAACUAAAUUUACAUGAUUUUUGAUAUACCAGAUCUAUACUUCAUCAAUCUGAUCAAUGAUCAAGAAUGGUCUUCAAUAAAUACAAUGCCAAUCAUGUUAGAACUCCUAUUCCAAAUAUGACGAUCAAGCACUUUAAGCAAUUGGAUAACCAUUUGUCUUGUCUGUUUAAAGGCCCCUUAUGUUGACGAAAUGAUAACGUAUUCUACUGUAUAUAGAUGCCAUCCCAAUCCCAACCAAAGAAUGCAACACUCAGAAGUGCAAUGAAACUUUAAGCGAACAUCAUAAUGGGAGAAUGCGGAUUAUACUUCGCCCCAUAAAAUGCUUAUAGCAAGAAUAACUUACUGAUUAUCAGAGAGAAGCUAAGGAAUCUUACUCGGUUAAGAUUUCAUAGACACGUCCAUAUGACCCAUUUCCCAGCAGCUUACCCUUUUGCCAUGAGGUGAUCCUUCGUCCGACACUCCCAUUGUCUACCCCAGAGGUCUGAGCCUCUUCCCAACUUACCAAUUUGCCAUCCAGAGGUCUUUCGUUUCCUCUCGGCUUAUGCAGAACCACUUUCAAAGCGAGCUCAAUGGCUUCGCUGUUUCUGCCACAAACCAACCACUUUUAGUAAAAGAAAACAAAUAACAAUCUCACUACUACUUCCUAGCAGAUAGCAUUUGACUUGGAUCACUAUUCCAAGUCCCAGGCAAAUUUUAUAAAGCUGAAAGGAUUUUAGUUUAAUAAACUCCGCAGGAUAUGAUUGGCGCUAUGCAGAUAAACCUACAAUUUCCCCCUAUUACUGAGAAAAAAAGAUGUUUAUUUGCCGUCCAAAUUACAGACAUCAUUCUAGAAUAAGAUCAAAUUCACUCAUAUAACUAUCUCUAGCCAAAAUGGCCCUGCUUAUGUAUGAGAAUAGGUGAAUGUCUCUGUUUUAUUUUUGUUUCAUCAUCAUCAUCAUCAUCAUCAUCAUUUCUUGGUGAGAAAUGAAAUUUACUGCUCAGAUAUCAAAAACUGGUUUGCAUAUGAUGCAUCGACCAAUAUAUUUCCUGUUGAAUUUUUGAACCACUUCAGCUAGUUUUCACAGCCAUUUACAAGAAUUUUAAGAGAAUAGCAUUUCGACUACGCUUGAGAAAAGGUCCAUUAAUAAGCAUUUACUUACGGUUGGAUAUUCCAUUCCUUGAUCUCAGCCACUUCUCGCAGACGAUCCUUCCAACUUUUGAUAUCGGCAUUGAGCCUCCGCUUGUGCUCCAAGAAGGCCUCCUUCAGCAGUCCCCUUCCGAGCUUGACGUCAAAGUUGGUGGGUAAAAUCGCUGGUUUCCCAGUCGAUGCAUUGAGCUCCAUCACUUGAGCGAGCUCAGAGGCACCAAGCGCUCGACACGUAGCCCCAGGAGAGGACCGGUAUGCAGAUCUUGGAUUUGCUGACCGCUCUCAAGAGAUUGCUGAUCCGAUCACUGGCGUGAAAGUCUUCGCUGUCUCUGUAGGCGACAAUCCCAUGGCCAACCAGGGUUCGGUAGAGGUAGUCGGUGAAGGUGUAGCAAGGGUCGGGUCUCUGAAGCUCAGGAACACAUCCUCAGUGUUGUUAACUUAAAGCACAAGAAAAAGAAAAAGUUCUUGGAGGAGCGUGGGCAUCCUGUGGUCAAAAGAAAAAGGGUUAUUAUCCUAAAAAAUGCUAAACUAAUGCACUAAUGCCAAAUUUACUCAAAAUUAAUUUUUUAAUCACGAAAAGCCCCAACCGGUACAUCUAUAAGAAAUCUACUUCAAAUGAGCACGAAAAACUUCAAAUUAAUACGCUUGUUACAAAUCUUUCUUGAUCACCAAAAAUUCUAAAUUAGUACAUUUGUGAUAAAUAUACCCUCCAUUAAAAUGGAUUAAUACAAUGGAAAAUCACAAAAAUAGUACAACACAAAUAAAAAGUAAAAUCUUAAACUGAUAUACUAGUCAACUGUCGCAUGCCAUCCAAUUCAGCAAUUUGACAAUAAUAUUUAAUAGAAUUAGCAGAGGAUAAAUUUGUCACAAGUAUAUUAGUUAUAAGUAAAUUUAUUAAAUGUAAACUAGUUUGGGGUUUUUGAUGGUUAAAAAAUUAGUUUGGAGUUUUUUAUAGUAAAAUAAUUAGUUUAGGGUAAAUCUAUCAUAGGUACACCAGUUUGGAGUUUUUCACUCUAUUAACUCAAAGAAAAAAGAAAGCAUGUGUCGGACAAAAGAAAGCAAAGGGCAAAGUCAAUAUUUGUUCAACUACAAAUCGGGAAUUCUAGUUGGAACAUGGAGACAUGGUUAUAUAUAAGAGUAUGCGCAAAAGAACCGGGAGCUGCCCGAACCACUCAGAAUUAGCGGUUUCCAAGGGAGCCGGUUUAGUUCUUGGUUCCAAUUUAUUGGAACCAGUGGGUACCAGUCUAGUUCUUGAAUCUAAGUGUGGAAUUGCCCACCCACCCAUCCAGACCAAAGUAGUAAUAUAUAAAUAUAUAUUUAAUUUUAAGAAAAGUUUCUGACCAAAAAAUAAUUUAAGAAAAAUGAAAACACUAAAACACUUAAUUUGGAGCUCAACACCCAUUAAUUGAGUGCUCAUCUCGUCUCACUAUUACCUUGCUUAAGUUAUCCCACUAUCAUUCACUCAUAGCCUUGACUCCCAAUCUCAAUAGUCAUUUGACUCACGGCCUCAACUUUCAACUUAAAAUAUGAGUUCAAUCUUUUUAUUGAUAUUGCAACUAAUAAUAUAGAAGUUCUUUGUUUCUUGCUUUACUUUAGCUUGCUGGAAAAUGUCACACUAAGUGUGUGGAGUUUGGUGAGAUCGGCUCUAUGGACCCGUUCAAGAAUUGGACCGAGCCGGCGGUUUGGUUAUUGAGUGGAUUCAUGGAGCCAAUUGGCAAUUCCCAAUUUCAUUUUUUCGGAACCGGUCCUUAGUAAGUGAUUCUCGGUUCUAGGAUGGGAAUUGCUAGGACUGAUUUGUUUCUGGUCUAAUUCAAAGGUGGAACCAAGAAUCAGACUGGGAGGACCGGGUCCUAGAUUCUGGGAUCGAGAAUCGGACUGACCAAUCCCAGAGUAGGAACUAGACCAACCAAUCGGUCUGGUCUAGUCAGAUGGAACUAGUAAGUUUGUUGUUUCAAGCUAAAAAUAAAUUGAAAAACUUUGUUGCCAAUUCGAGUUUGAGACAACGAGGACCGACUCCCUGGUUGAACUUUAGAGUGGGUUCGUCGAAUUUGCCAUCCCCCCACACCACACCUCCCUUGGGCCCCUCACUAAUAUUUCGAGGACUCCUGCUAGCAAAAAGAGAUUAGUUCUAAUUUUUUAUGGUUGGUAGUUGGGAGGGAAUCCUUGUCGAUGAAGUAACAAUGCCCCUCCCAUGAAUUUACUUAACGCUCUGAACUUCAGAGCGUCUUUGUUGUCGUUGAGGCGACAUAUCUUGUCGAGUGAGAGACGUGAGUGAGAGUGAGUAGAGGCUCAACGAAAAAUGAGGAAAAUUGAGAGGAAUUAGGGUUUGUUUAUUAAGAAAUUUAAAAACAUUACAUAUUUAUAUAAUCAAAUAGUUUGAUUUGAUCGAGCUAAAUGGCCAUUGGUUCCAAAAAUGAGUUGGGAAUCAGACUGCCCUCUGUAGGAACUGUCUAGAAUUGCCAAUUUGGUCCAUUCUAGGUAGUUCCUGGUUUGGCCGAUUCUCAUUGUACACCCUUAAGAACCACCCAUCCGAUCCAUGCUCAUUUUUAAUUAUAUAUUGUCAAUUAUUAUGAUUGAGGAGAAGACUUUGACACCACCAGCACACGAAUAAUAAAGAACUCUAUGUCUCCCCCACACUUUCUCUCCCGAUCUUCACUCUAUCGAUCAAAAGGGAUGUGCUUUAGCAUGUCAAUUUUGCCGACCGACUAUCGGUCAGUUUCUAACCAUUUGCCAGUCUCCUCUCUUAAGACCAUCCACGUAACUUGAACCCCCCUCUCCAUCUCCAAUGCCAUGUCGGUGGUGGCUUGCCAAACCGACCACCAAAGCACCACAUGCUAGGCCAUUUCCAUUUAACACUCCAAAUCAAUGUUGAGUUGCAUGAUGUGUAGACUUUGUUCAUUUGGGUUGAUGCUUUGUUUUGAUGUCUAUUAGGCCUUGAAGGGUAAAAUAUGAGCUUUGAAAAGUAAAAAGGGCAAAAAGGGAGGGGGUUUGAAAAGUCGACAAAAGAAGCAAAGAGAGAAUAGUGGAACCUUCGGCUCUUUUAAGAAGAGAGAGGGAGGACGGAAAGCUUAGUUGAGGGAAAAGAAAGAAAAAGAGAGAAGAGAGAAAAGAAGGGAAAAAGAAAAAAGGGUGGCGAAAAGAGGAGAGAGUGUCUUACGUUCUUCCCAUGGACGCCUUGCCAAGCUGACUCAAUGUCGUUUUGCAAUGCCGAUAAGUGUUCGCCCCCUUCUAUUAUGCCUCCAACACGUCACAGCUAAUCUAAAACUACUAGCACUAUUAUCUUUUUAUUUCGCUUUUUCUAAAGCAUGCAAAAGCAUAAGAGACCAAAGUAAUCUUGGAGUACACAUGGACUUCUAUAAAUGGGCAACUUCAUUUCUUAUUUAUUUAUAUAUACGUUAAACAAUGAGUUUGGUAUAUUGGGAAAUUCAAAAGGAUCAGUACUACUGAUUACACUGGUUGUCAAUUGAUCAUCCAGUCCCAACCUAGCUAUACACAUGGUCGUCUAACCCCGUUCCUAGCUUUGUAAACAAUCUUCCAAGCUCCAAAAAUCCAGCUGCCCUCCUACCUCCCUUCUAUGUGGCGGGAUUGCCUCAAUCUCCUAGCCCGUCGGUAAAGAGUGAGAGGGGACCCACCAUGUGCCCAUUAAUGUUGACGUAUAUCCUGACAAACCCAAAAGUGACAUGCCUUAUCGGAGGCCCUAUAUCAACAACCAUACGAGACUUGAUCUGGAUAAAAACCAUAUCCGGGAAAUCAAAGUCUAUGAUUGUUUUCUUGCCAUGCGAAGUCAUCAACUGGUACUCUAUAAUGGACCAUAGGAAAGGCAGGUGGGAUUGACAUUUUACUAAUUUGAAAAGAUAAAGUCAACAAUCAGUGAGUCUAAAUCCAGCAAGUAGAAGGUCCAUUGAUCUAUACUACGGAAAUCGAUCACCAUACUAACAAGAAAAGCCUCAAUAUAAGUUUUAGUAAAUCGCUUUCAUAUCAUUUUACUUGAAAACCUUUUCAUAAUAGAUGACAGAUCAAUAAAUGUAACAACUUUUCCCAACCGAUAACCAAUAACUCAAUUUAGAAGUGCUAAAUUUAUAUUCAAUAUAAAUUCAUGUUGCGAUCAUUAUCCGGGGAACCCUGUUAUCUCUCAGGUAUCUCGCACCCAUUCGGUAUCACGAGGACAUUUGAGGGACCCGCAUUACACCCCCAAGCAUAUGGAGGAACCCAGUUAUCCCUUUAGGCCUCCUUACUACAACUCAGUGUGUUGUCAUCCCAAGGAUUGAUGGCAUUCUUAGUCAAACAUUCGCAUCAUGAUGUAGCAAUUCCAUAAUUCAAUUUAAAAACACGUUGACGUUACUACUAUCUAGGGACUCAAGUGUGAAUCUAAUGAAUCCUCAGUCAUUUUUAUUCUUAGAUGAAUAUAAACUCAUCCAUGCAAAUAUUGGGUGAACUAGAGGAAGAAUCCCAUAUCCUAGACCCUAAAUUAGCCUUGUAGGGCAUGCAACUAGUGCACUUGACUAAAUACAAAGGGCUUUUCUCGCUUGUUUAGUAAAGUCAAGUUUUUGGCCUUAUCUUGGAGGUGACGACGACUACAACAUCCGUUGGACAUAACAUUAGGAAGCAGACAAUCAUACUUGCUUAAGUUAAGAGUUCUAGCUUCACUAGGGGAAAGAAAGUGAGUGAUCCUACCCCAUCCUUGGCUAAGCUAAGGCUACCAUCAUUAGGGAAUAUACCUUGGAGAACAACUACCCUAUAAAGGACUUUUCUGGCAUUGACUUCCUUUUGAAACUUCUGCCUAAAAAGAUGGCUUCAGAAUUGGCUGGAACUUCUAAUACAGGUUCUCAAAUCUUCUUUCCCAUACAAGACUAUCCUACUACUUGAACUAUACUACAUUGUCCGUCAUUCUAGUCUCACUCUUGGGUGCAGGGUUUUUCGUUACUAUGGCACUUGAGCAUGCUUUCAUCCUUUGUUGGGUGCUUAGCUAUUAGAAAAGUAUAAGAAGCGGCUCCUUCGGGCAAACCAAGCCCUUGGGUAUGUCUGAAAUGGUAGAUUGGUUUACGGCUCCUUGUGAGAGAAAGAGGUCAUAAGAUCCCAAGUUGUAUAGAUUGAGCAUCUCUUGAUGGAAUACAUAUUGCUAGCGCUAGCCUCUUUCCUAUGCUAUCAAGUAAGGAACCCUUCGAUAUGAUGAUUAGCUUCUACCCCACCCUAGAUCUGACUUAGAAUUCGCGUUUCCAAUCUUCGAGCAAGAGUCCUUAAAUCUUGCUUAGGAAGUUCAACAACUAAAUCAAAAACAGAAUCGGCAAAAAAUCAAACUUCAAUUUUUCCAAGUUGGUAUCUUUAUAAUAAAAGAGGAAACUAACAAGAUAUGGAAAACAACACCCCAUCCAAUUCGCUCUAACAGACAGGCAUGGUUCUGUAGUUAAAGCAACUUUGUCACUUUCGUGUACACAUCGGAUGGCAGCCUUUUGUGAAAGCUACAUUUGAUUUGGAAUCGAGAAAAGGCUAAAGCCCUAAUUUCACUAUAUCAAGAAUCAAAUUGAAAAGAUUUGAAACCCUAACUCCAAAGUCUUCAUAAACAAGCUUAUCCUCGCCCCAACUGGUAGCUGUUGGCUAUCCCCAUCUCUCUUAAACUUCCCUCGGUCUUCGGACUGAGCUAUAUGAUGCAUAAACUUGUCUCAUGUACAGUUCGAAGGUCGAGCUCCACCCCAGCAGUAAUGGUGCAACUUAGGUCAACCAACAUGAAAAUGAUAAGAGUUCACUCAAUGAUUGCCUUUGAGUUUUGAACUUUGUAAAAUAAAAUAAUUGAAAAAUUGAAAAAUGAUAUUAUUUAGGAAUACACAUUGAAUGCUAAGAUUACGCAUUGAAUUUCUAGUAGUAGAUUCACCCGAAUUGUCUUGAUUUCCAAUUGAUGAACAAGAAGGAAAAUAGAACUCUUGGAUUUUUUUUACUCACCCCCAGCUAGUUCACCCACCACAUAUGGAAGCAAGCUAGUUCCCUAUGUUGGUUGCCCCUUGAUGUGGGUUUAUAAGGUGAAGAUAGGCCAAGAUGGUUCGAUCGAAAAGGAUAAGGCUCGCCUAGUGGCAUGAGGGUUCUCACAACAAUACAGUCUGAACUAUGAUAAAAUUUUCAAUCUACGUGAAAGACCUAAAGGAGAGGAAUCAAUGAAGGAAAGAAGAGUUGUAUCGAAGAUACAUUGCAAUCUUCACUGCUUCUACUAGUUCUUCUAUAUUGAGCACGCCCUUCCUUCUUGCUAUGCUAUGAAGAAUCCCUUGCAAGAUUUGCUGAUGUUCUUUCCCCUAGUAUUAGACUUUAUGGAAGAGUAUCUUUAGUUCAAGGGGAAGCCUAAAAGACCUUUUCAAAAACUUUCGUUAGUUCUCAUCUCUUUGUUGAUAUACGACAUAGAUCUAGAUGAUUAAUGGAAGAAACAUCAAACAUAUCCCAAACUUCUCACUCCCACCAACCGGCCGAUGGAAAUAGACUGACUACUGAGAACCUUUUUCGAUCUCAGCAUCUAGAUGUGAAAGCAGAACUAGCGCUUAAAGUGCGCAACACUCAUUAAUUCCUCAAAAUGAAUUGAAUCAUCAACAGCUCAUAGUUUAGCUAAGUUGGCUUUAAAUGUGGAUAAUGAAUUGGUGUUGGUCGAAGAGUGUUCGUCAUGGUUGGAGCCUGCGGUUCUUAACGAUGUACUCUUGUCUCAUAUUGAUUAAUUAUAUAUGCUAUCGUUUCUGUAUUCCCAGUUCGUUUUCUCUAUUAACAAGAGGGUUCCUUGGUUGUUGAACAAUAAGAAAUUCCCCUUUUCCACUCAAUAAAUGAGAGGAGAAUACAAAUUAUGCUACAAGGAAUGAAGCAUGCUUUCUUUCUUAGGGCAUGAACUCCUUCAUUCCUUUCCUUAAGGAGAUAUGGGCAAGUCUUUUAGUCCUUUGAGACCUUCAUUUGGGAAUCGUACUUAAUAGGAGGGAAUAUUUCAAGGGAAUGAUGGCAUCAUGGCGUUGUUUUGAUCAAAGACCACAGGUGCAAACCACCAAACGGAUGUGACAGUCUCAUUUCCCACAGACCUCAUCCUUGAGGAGGUAAAUAAGACUUAGAGAGAUUUUUUUUGUGAAGAACUCAAAGUCCGAUUUAGCUCAUACAGUUCUAAAUAAUUUUUGUAAAUAGGGCCAAAAACAAUAAAUUUUUCCAGAACGUAAUAUAGCAAAAAAUCAUGGAAAUUUAGGGCAUGAAUGAUAACCAUUUUUGCUAGAAAUUGAUUUUUGGAAGAGAAAUAGAUUUUUUUUUAUUUCUAUUUCUAGAUGAAUUUCUAAGCAAAAAUACAAGUUUGAUAACAAUACAAAAUUUUUAUUCUAAAAAUAGAAAGUCGUUUGAUAACAACACAAAAUUUCUCCCUUUCGAACAGUGGUGAUCAGCGAACAAUGGCGACCGACGGUGGGUGACCGGCGGCGGCAAUUGGUGGGUGGCGGCUGACAAUCGGCGACGGCGGCGGCCUACAAUUGGUGGCGGAUGAUGGUCAGCGGUGACGGAUGGACGAUCAAUUUGUAGUAAGAAUGAACGAUGAGAAUAAUUUUUAUUUCUCAUUUAUAUUCAGAAAAUAGAAAUGUAGAAAAUUUUUACUUUUGAUUUCUAUUACAAACUUAUUUUUGGAACAAAAAUCUAUUUCAAAAAUAGAAAAAUGAAAUAAUUUUAUUAAAUGGAUUUUUAUUCCAGAAACAAGUUUGGAAUAGAAAAAUUGUUUCUGGAACAAAAUUCUGGUUUGUCAUGUGCUCCCUUAAUAUGUAGUAGCUUAGAAUGUGCUUUACAACUUUCAUGAACGACACACGUGACAUCCUGAAUUUUCAACCAUAUUUCGAUAAAUGAACUGGGCUUUUCAUUGACGCGUCUAUGGUCCUUUUUCUUGGAGCUAAUCACUCUCGAGUUAACCGAUCUAUUAGGUGAAGCUGCUAAGGGAUAUAAACACGACAGACUUGAGAAUUCGAUCAGAGUUCGAUUACUCGACUGUGAUAAUCGGCAAAGGUUAAUACAGCACCGUUAUAAUCAACUAGUGAUCGGAUAUAGGUCGAUUCGAUGGAAUUGCAUAAUUAAAUUGUGGGUGAUUCCACAUGAUUGCAAAAUUCGCGUUGAACGGCAUUAACCCAAUUUUCUGUCGAUUCUGAACUCAGUGUCCGUACUUGAAACCUUGAGAUUUUUACGAUAACCGAGAGUUGCCGACGAGUUGAGGAUGCACAAACAUGGAUCGAAAAUCAUCGACCACGUGUCUAACGCAAUAAAAUCCCUAAAAGAUACCCAAUAGGUUGGGUCAUGCUAAAAGCUACCCAAUAGGUUGGGUCAUGCUAAAAUUGUAUUCGGUUGAUUUUAACUAUGAAAUUGAACUCGGUUUUGUGAAUCGGACGUUCGAGCAUGUCACGAUUCAGUUUUAAGACGUCUUCUUGUCUUUUGGAAAAUUCCAUCGAGCCGGGAAUUUUUCAGAAUGAUUCAAAUUUGACAAAAAGAAUUAGGGAAAUUAGGAGGGGCACUAUUGGUUGAAAUUUUGGCCAUCAAUUUGGAUAAUUUGGUGAGUAAAAUGGAAGAAAUUCGUAGGGGCUAAAUUAUUGGGGUUUUCGGCCUUGAAAUUGAUUUGAUUUGUGAGGAAUUGAAAGAAAAUAGAGGGAAAUUCGUAUGGAUAGCAAGGGGGACAUUUUUGGGCUGCCAAAGGGCUUUGUUUGGGUGAGGAAAUGGUGGAAUUGGCUAUUGUUUGCUGCCAAGACUUGAGGGGCUGAAAAACUUAGGUGGCCAUGCACUCAAGUGCAUGGGAUAUUUGUGCUUGACUUCCUUGGCUUCUUGUNNNNNNNNNNNNNNNNNNNNNNNNNNNNNNNNNNNNNNNNNNNNNNNNNNNNNNNNNNNNNNNNNNNNNNNNNNNNNNNNNNNNNNNNNNNNNNNNNNNNUUUGAAAACAUUAUGGAUAAGUACUCUAUGAGUUAAAAUAGCAUCUUUGUUGCAUAAAAUAGGAUCAAGCCUUUACUGCUAUUUUGUUGUUUAAUAGGGAAUAUGAUCAUUUGACUUCAACUUGAAUGAUUGCUUAUAAAUGGUUUGUGAAACCUUUUAUGAAAGGACCUUGAAAAGUUCAUGAUUUGUUAAAGUGGUUGUGAAAAGUGCUUUGAUAUUUAAAUAUUGAUUGCUAGAGUUGUGAGAUAAUUUCGAUUUUGGUUAUGGAGUACUGAAGAUUUGUGAUUGAUGGUUAAUGCUCAGUGUCUCUGUGAACCCUAAGGGGUUUGUGGGCAUGCACAUACUAGUCUAAGAUAUCCUUGUGGGUCGAGCCACCAACUAAUAAUAGAUGGAGACCUAACCAAUGAGGGAAUCUUGGUCGCUUAAUCAUGAGUGUGACGCGUGAAUAUGGUUAGAUGCUUGUGGACCAUUGACGUGUGUUUUUAUGAGAUUGGCCAAUGGACUGGACUACUAGGGUUUGCUUUGUUAUUUAUCUUGGGUAUUUUUGCUAUGAACAUAUUAUGUUAAAGUAAGGGAUAUCACACUUUGGUCUUGAAGGUUUGCUAAACUCUGGAUUUUAGUGAAAGUGAAUUAUAUUUGUAUUUUAGAUGUGCAUAAUUAUUGUUUGAUUCGCUUAGAAAAAAUGUAUUACUCACUAAGUUAUGGUAGUUCAUUACUUUCAUCUACUUGCUUUUAUAGGUUCUUUAGUGAGCCAUAAAUAAGUCGUGAGCAUUGCAUUAUUGGGGAGGGCUUUUUGUUAGUGAAGACUUUUUGGUAUGAGUUAUAUGUAGUUGAUAAGUUUAAAAGUUAGUUUUUGAUGGAGGUGUAUAUAUUGGUCUGGUUGUUUAUAGAAAUACUUUGAUAUUGUAAUCAAAUGCCAUUUUUGUCAAAUAUAUAUACUAUAUGUGAUGUACAUAUAUAUUGCUAGUAGGUUGAAUUUUGGUUAUGUUGAGGAUGCAUUCUUUGAUGAAAGGAUGGCUGUGUCACGCCAUUCUUCUUGUUGAGUUAGGGUAUGACAAGAACAUAAGAUGAAUGAAUCUAACUUAGCGAGGAGGAUGAUAUAGGAACAUUUGACUUAGCUUAAUUAGCCUAAUUAGCACCAUCAUUGCUCAUUUAAGCCAAGAUAGAAUUUGGGCAUAGCGUGCUUCAAUGAGUCAAGACCAAAAUUUCCAACUAAAACGGUACUGAACCAUUUUUACCGAAGUUAUCGAUACUGAUGAUUAUAAGUUACCGAAAUUAUCAACUUGAUAUAUUUGUCGUUGAUUUCUUGGUACGCUUUAGUAAUUGCUGAUCCCAAAGUUUAUCAAUGACAUAUCAAUGGAAGGUCCUUCUAAAUAACUUCCUCGGUUAUUUAAUGAAGUCUCGGGGUAUUUAUUUUCUGGUCAAAAUAGGAGCAUGAAUUUUGCACGAUUGAAGAAUAAAAAAUGCAAGUUCCCAAGUCAUUAAAUGCACUCUAUUUUCCUAGGAGUCUUUAUUGUUCUUUAAGUUUCAAGAGUUAAAGUUUUGAGUUCAUAGGUCUUUAAUGUCGGGUUAAUUCCCAUGUCUAUUUAUUAUUUUUAUAUUUCCUAAGUUGAAUUCCUAUUACAAAUAGAAGAAGUCUCUCAAUUAUAACCGGACAAGAUUUUAUGAAUGAAAAUACUUGAGAUUUUUUAUGUGCGAGCGAAUAUCUUUAGAGAAUUGAUAACUCCUAUUUCAAUCCUUUUAUCCUUGAAAACUGGAUUACUUCUUAGUGGUGAGCCAAGAAACCCUUUAUUCUCGGCUGGUGGAUUUUCCUUUAGGCCCUGAUGGGGAGCUUCUUCUAUUACGAAAUCCUUUAUUCUUGGCGGGUGGUUCAUCCUUUAAGGGCCUGUUUGGCAACUUGCCCAACAGUGCCAGAUUCUGAUUUUUUGUUCCCAGAAUCAGUUUGGGACGAGAAUCGCGUUUGGUAAAUUUUUUGUUCCCGGGAACAAUUUUGGACAAGAUUUGAGAAUCAAAAAAAAUUUGAUUCUCGUCCGAGAAUCAGACAAAAGAAUCAAACGGUAAAACCUUGUUCUUCUCUUUUAUCAUCUCGGUUGCCAUUCGCCAUCGCCCGCCGCCGUCCGCUGCCGCCCGCCGCCGCCUGCCGCCGCCCGCCGCCGCCGCCGGUCACCGGUCCGCCGCCGGCGCCGGUCCGGCGAGAUCGCCGAAGCUCCGCCAGCCAGGGCGAGGUCCGGNNNNNNNNNNNNNNNNNNNNNNNNNNNNNNNNNNNNNNNNNNNNNNNNNNNNNNNNNNNNNNNNNNNNNNNNNNNNNNNNNNNNNNNNNNNNNNNNNNNNNNNNNNNNNNNNNNNNNNNNNNNNNNNNNNNNNNNNNNNNNNNNNNNNNNNNNNNNNNNNNNNNNNNNNNNNNNNNNNNNNNNNNNNNNNNNNNNNNNNNNNNNNNNNNNNNNNNNNNNNNNNNNNNNNNNNNNNNNNNNNNNNNNNNNNNNNNNNNNNNNNNNNNNNNNNNNNNNNNNNNNNNNNNNNNNNNNNNNNNNNNNNNNNNNNNNNNNNNNNNNNNNNNNNNNNNNNNNNNNNNNNNNNNNNNNNNNNNNNACGAAGGCCGACCUCGCCGAGGGGCUGGCGGCGCUCCGGUGAGCGUCGCCGGGCCCUCGUCUGGCCCGGUCGCCGGUCCGGCGACCGGCCAAAUGAAGAAGAAGAAGAAUAGGAAAAAAGGGGAAAAAAAGAAAAAAGAAAAAGAAAAAAAGAAAAAAAAAGGAAAAAAAAAGUAAAAAGUAAAAAAGUGAAGAAAUUAUUUAAAAUUUAUUUAAAAAUCAAAAGAAAUUAUUUAAAAUUUAUUUAAAAAUCAAAAGAAAUUAAUUUGGAACAGAAUCAAUUAAUACGGUACCAAACGCAAUUCUAUUCCAGAAUAAAAAAUUUUGAACAGUUACCAAACACGUGUUUUUACUCAGAAUCAGUUCCCGGGAACAGAAUCAAAAAGAAUCAGUUCUUAUCAGAAUCAGCUCCCGGGAACAGAAUCGUUACCAAACGCGCCCUAAGCUUUGGUGGUAAACUUCGUUUAUUCCAAUUAUCAUCCUUGGUUGGUGGCGUAUCCUUAUACUUGGUGACAAUCGUUUUCUAUCCCUAUAUUUGUAUUUCAUCCUUUGACAACCAUCCCAUACACAUCUCUUUCCAUACACUUAACCACAAAAUCUCUACAACUCGGAAUCACUCGCCCAAGCAAGCAUCAAGGAUACUGCAAGAAAAAUUUGUACCGUAAAGGUAAGCCACUUGAUGAAAUCAUAUCCAAAUUUAUAACAGCAUACCAUCCAAAGAUGUGGUCGAUGGCAGCGGACGGCGGUAGGCGGAGGAAGAAGAAGAGACGGAAAAAGAAAAAAAAAAAAGAAAAAAUCUCAAAAAAUUAUUAAAAAAUUAAAAGAAAUUCUACGUCAUAAAAAAUUAUGGGUCAAACCAAACGCAUUUAUGUUUUUUUUUUCCUAUUUCGAGAACAGAAAAUUUAUACAAUUACUAAAUGCAUUAUUUUACUCAGAAACUGUUCAAAAGAGUAUAAAUAAAAAAGAACUAUUUCUAAAAAGAAAUUAUUCUUAGGAACAUAAAUGUUACCAAAAGCACCAUAAUUCUUCAUGAGGUUAAAAUAUUGAGGUUUUAAAUGUAAUCUAGUAUUGCGAAGCACUUGAGCAUGAAGUGGAAUAUUUGCGAUGCACUCUUUUUGUGAAGUAAGAUUCAGACCAAACUACUUAAAUCUCUUAUGUUCUUUAUUGUUCCUUAUUGAUUUAUCUGGUUAUUUCAUUCUCUUGAAUUAAUUUAAAGGCAAGUCCCAAUUAGCUUCCGCAUUAAUCUUACAGCAAUUAUUAUCGGAGUUGAGACCAGGAUUUUUUUGGAUUUGAUUUGGAGCUUUUGCUUAUCUAAUCAUUAUCUAGUAAUUAUGUUGUUGCAAUUAUGUGUGGAGCAAAAAUAGAAAUUGAGAAGUUUAAGGGAGGUACAACUUGGGCGGUGAAGUGAGAUAGGUGCACUAUUAAUAGACAGGGUUUGGCCUAGGCAUUGGAUGACAAAGCUAAGUUGCCAAUAAAUGCUGAUAAUGAUGAGUUAAUGAAGACGGUAAAGAGUAUCCAGGACUAACUACUAAAGGCCAAGCACCCCAAGUCAUGUUCUGCUAAAUUGAACCUGAAAGUUAGAACUUAAGGUGAAUCCCAAAUCAUAAUCAACUUUUUGCUAUAGUAGCUUGUGUCCUUCGAUGCUAAGUCUUAUUGUAAACAUAAGAAACUUCGUCACAACAUCAAUGGGGAAAAAGGGGAGGAAAAAGUGAAGAAGAAAGAAAGAAGAUAGUUCAAUCAAAAGGAGGGAAACAUGUGGGACAAGGAAGAAGAAUUUGAGGGCAUAAGAAAACAAAGUAGAGAGUAGGAAAAAGAGAGGGGGAGUAUAAAGAAGAGAAUAAAAUAAGGGAGAGAGAAUGAUCACCGAGGAAAAUGGAAAAUGAAAAUAGAGAGUGAGCAGAGCAACUAAGAGAGAUGGAAAUGAGCAACAUGUGUGCUCCCGAGAUCCGACGAACUAGAUUAAAUCCAUUUCGUGACACACAGUAUGGAUUUGAACUUCAUUGAAAUUUCAUAGUUGGGCUGUUAAUUCGAAUCCAUUCAAAUUCUGAGUUAUUGGGUUCAUUGGAUAAAAGAUUACUAGAUGCUCCAAGUAUCAAGAUAAAUAAGUCUUUAUUUUAAGUUCUUCAUUAGAGGUUGUGCCCCACUGCAUAAUUUGACAUGCGAAGAACAAAUUAAGUAGAUCGAUAUGAUAGAGUCUAAUUAGUAGAAGUAAGCUUUCUUGAUGCACAAACCGUGCGGAUCCUCAACUGGACAGUAAUGGACCCGAAUGCUUUGAAGAAUUCACACCACCAAACAAAAAAAGUGGUAGGACGUUUGUCUGCGGAGGAUCUCCAAUGCCCAGGUCAAUGUAUUUUUGCAGAAGGAGAGGCUAAAUAUUGAGGAGGCAUACAUUGCCAAAGGACAUUUGUAUUUUGUAGAGGGGGAUCACGGGCUUACUAUUCUGGGCUUAUCCACAAGUUAGUGUGCUCUAUAAGCUUUUUUGCUUACCUGUAGGGCCCAAUUUUUCUUGUAUUCGUCAAGCUUGGCCCAACCAAUGCGAUGAAUCAAGCAGAAUUCUCUUCUUACUUUAGUAUAGCUCCAAGAGAAGUGACAGUCUUAUGAGUGGUAGAUGCAUAUUCAAGCUACCAUGCAAUGCAUAACGAAGCAGUAUGACAAUGUUUAAGAAGAGUCAGAUUAUGAGAGGUAGGUCAAUAUUCAGGACAAGUGGUCCAUAUACAUGAUCUUAUAGAGCUAAAUGCAACUGGAUGGAAAUAGAAAAGUUCACUCCAUCUUAAGAUGAUUACAGAGCGAUCUAAUGAAAUAGUUAUUAAUUAGAAGUAAAUAAAAGAAAAAAAAUUCAUCUCGUGCUUUAACGUUUUUUCUAAUCAAUUCCUGGUACUUUUAAUUUUCUAACAAAAUCCUUCUUCUUGCACAAAUAAUCAAAUGAAGAUCUUCCAACACCAUAUUUAGUCAAACCCGUUUGAUAUGAUAGUCCAACAACAUCAGGACACUUUAUCAACAUGGAUGCUAUCAUGGGAAAAAAAAUAAAAAAGAACAUAAUUCGUCAACAUUGACAAAAUCCGACAUCACACUUUGAUGUUGUUCGACAGUGGCAACGGGGGAUUUGAUUAGAUAAUCUGUGCUAGUGAAAAAAUUUAAUUAGAAAAAUCACAAAUCGAUUAAAAAAUUUCAUUACAGUAUAGGAGCGGAAAGCAACAUUUUUCCUGAAUUAUAAUAUCCAACGGAAAAGCAUAGUAGGAGGGAGAAUUCUCGCAUAGAUUGAGUUCGAGGCCCGACCACAUAUAAUCACAUGGAGUUCUACAAUAAGAAAAAAGAAUGGAAAAACCAUCCUUUUAUUUUAUUUUUAUUUUUUAUUUUCGCUUCUUCAGCUCACAGUUGUUGCCUGUCCAUGGCCGAGCCACGCCCUCCGUCAUCAAGGCGGCUCGCAGUCGUUUCCCAUCCAAAGCUGAAUCUAAAGUUGUGCCGCCAGAUCUAGCCUCAAGAACGGCCGCAAGCCUUUGCUUGUCCAUGGCCUGUGAGGUAGCACAUCCACAUAUCUAGCGGCCACGGCUCAUCCGUCGCUGUGAGCCUUGACAUUGAGCUCGAUAUCCCAAUGGCCAUCAACUGUGAGCUCAGACAGCAAAUGAAAAACAGACGAACGAAGUCGAAGGCUUGAGUGCAGCAUGGGUGAGUGACGCCAACGACGCUUGAACGCUCUCGGUCAUGGACGAACUACGCUAAGGACAGCCAAGGACGAACUAUAUGCCAACGGCAGCAUUGAACGCGUUCGGCCAUUGACAGCCAAAUCUGGAGAGCAACGCCAGUGGAGGCUAGACGUGGCGCCGGCAAAGUGAACGAGGAAAUAAAAUUAGUUAACAAACUCUUGAGAAUUGGGAUGACAUAGUCAGAAGUCUGCCCUUUUGCUUCUGCCACUAAAAUCUCAUCCUAGAAGAAAGUAGAAUUGCUUACGGAUGUCAUCUAAUUAGUCUCUUCUACCAUCAUCUUUGCCCAUUUCACAGUGAUUGGCACAGGAAAGACUAAUAUUUUCUCCUCUCAGAUCUAGUCGUCCGUGACAAUGUAAUACUAGGGCCAAGGAUUGCGCGUGUUAGUAAUCUUGACAGAUUUUGGAGGAGGACGGGCUAGAUUGACUUGGAUGAUCACUGUUUGGGACAUUGCAAAAUUGCCUACUUCUGCUUGUUUUCUCUACAUUUCUCCUCUUGGUCUUUUGCACUCUUCAGUUAUUUGAGAAAUUUGUAGAAUCAUUCACUUACCCACACAAAACAAAUAGCUUGCUCUCUAUGACCACUUAAUAGAUAACAGUGACAGAAAUUGACUGUAAAGCACUCAACUACGAAGUUUAAUUGGAUAUUUGGAAUGUUUUCAUCGUCAUGUAAAAAAUGACUCCUGAUGGCAUAAAUAAAAAGGAUGACAUCUGACACAAAGAUUCAGGCAAACUCAUUCCCAAAUGAGGCUACUUCUUUCAAUUUCUAUCAAUCAGCCAUCACAACUACUGAUGGCUAACGAGUCACCUGCCAGCGCCACUGAUACCAAUACAUUGAGCAACGGUGCGCUGGUUCUAUAUUUGCAUAGUGCCACACUUUCAGAAAAAGUAUCAUAUGCGUUGGAAAUUAUUAUCCAAGUUGUCGAAAAUCUGGACGAUGCUUCCAUGUGGCAAGUAAUCUGUUAUUCACAAAGCGAAUGACUUCCCUCAAUGAAUGGUCAGUUAGCAAAUCCUCAAAGCAGAGUAGAACCACACGCAAACUGCAUUCCUUGCACUUGAGUUUAUCAAGGAGAGUGUUCUAUUGGAGCCAUCAAUUUAGCUUUCAUUCCCUUAACCAUAAUGCAUAGAGAUCCAUUCAGUUCUUCCUGACUCCAUGUCUGCAUCAUCCUGCAAGACAAUGUACUUCUCGUUUCUGCCCCAGAAGACUUCUCCCUUGAAAAAACCACAAGGGCUUGCAGACACACUGUAAUAUGCCUACGGAACAAUCAAUUUUGUCCUUUUUCAUUUUUUAUUUUUCGGAAUUUUUUCCAUCUCAUCAUCCUAGAUCAGGAAAAGAUGAGUUGGUCUUCUACCUACAUUGGAGGACAAUAAAAUGCAACUAUGAUCCAUUCACCAUGCCCUAAUGUCCAAACAUUACAGUUUUUUGCGUCACAAGCAUUCAUGAACUGUAGGGAAAAGCCAAUCACAACCGCAAAUCUACAAGUACAAGGACAAUGACACAGCCAUCCUUUUAUCCAAAGGACACAACCUCAACAUUACUAUCAUCAACCUAUUGUCAAUACAUAUACAUCUAUAUAUAUUUGAUAAAAGAGUCAUCUGGUUAUAAUAUCAGUGUUUCUAUAAUCCAUAAAAAGGAUAUGUACAUCUCCAAACAACAACCAAACUCAAAGGUUCAAUUCAACCAUAAACAACUUAUACCUAAAAAAUACCAUUAUUAAAACAUCCUCCUGAAGACGAAAAUGCUUUCUUCCUAUUUGCAGCUCGUUGAAAAACCCGAGUAGCAAGACGAAUGGAAUGAGCAACUACAGCUCAAUAAGUAGUACAUCUUUUUAAGUAGAUUGAACGUUCACUAUGCAUCUUUAUAAUACAAUAUCGUAACUCAAUAAUCUCCAAUUCAGUAUAUGAUAUACAUAAAAUAUCGAAGACUGAUGAUAUCUUUUCAAUAAAACUUAGUAUAAGAUCAAUUAACAAUAUCAACUUACAAUAACAAAUCAAUCAUCAAUGGUUUAUUCUAUCGAUCAAUCUCAAUCUAGUCUAUUCAGUAAACUAAUCCAAUGCUCGAUACAUAACUAUGGCCAUGCUUAACGCUCGUGACAAACACGACCAAGUUUUCGGCCCUUGACUAGAUCUCCUUUUAUAUCAGUAGGUGGUUUGGCUUAGACGGAUGUCCUAAUAACAGUAUGCAUACUUACCCCUUCAAUAGAUUCUAAUCAUAGCGACAUAGGCAUAAUCCAUUAACAACAUUCUCCAAUAACCCCCAAUUAAAUCAUAAAUUCAUGUCACAAAUUAGUUCCACAAACCUAAUCAUAUGACCUUUUCUCAAUUCCUUUUAUCAAAUAUGCUGCAUCUCAUAAACAUUUCACAAUCAAUACAUAUAGCUUUUGGCAAUUCUUUUUACAAAACAUUUAAUCAAGACUUUUACAAUUGAUUAUUUCAAACUAUUUCAAAUAUUGCCUUCAAAUGCCUUGUCAACAGACUAAAAAAGUAGUAAAUGCUUGAUCUGAAAGCUCAUUACUCAUAAGGUAAGAUUCCCUUCUCUUCAUCCAAGAUGUGUUUAUCCCUUGUUGUCAUGAUAAUCUUACUCCCAGAAUUAAAAGUGUCAAGCCCCUCAACUAGUUUGUUAAGUUGUUCUUCCUUGUCUAGAUUGUCUAGAACAAUGAGAACUUUCUUAGAACGAGCUCUCCUUCUUAUGCUCCCUUCAUUAGUUUAUGCGAUAAACCCUCUAUAGAUUUACUAGGCCAUUUCCCUUUAAUGAUUCUCAAAUAUCCCCAAUGAAUCUACAUUGUCCAUCAAAGUGAGGACACAAUUCAUUGUAAACAAUCUUAGCGAGAGUAGUUUUACCGAUCCCUCCCAUUUCAUGGAUUCCAAUGAAAUGCACACCAAUGCUAGAGUCAACAUCUAACGACUUCAUUAAGGCUUCUACAUAUUCAUCUACCCCAACCAAUUUGCCUUCCAAAGGUCUUUGUUUUACUUUUAGCUUACGCAGAACCUCUUUCACAAUGAGAUCAAUGAUUUCACCUUGUCUGCACUAACAAAAUAAAUGGCAAUCUCACUACUACUUCCUUGCAGAUAACAUUUGAGUUUGAUCACUAUUUCAAGUGUUUGGUAAAUUCUAUAAAGCCAGAAGAAUUUUGGUUGGAUAGACUCCACAAGAUAUGAUUGGUGUUAUGAUGAUAAACUUACAAUUUCACCCUAUUUCUGAAAAGGGAAAAAGCCACAAAAAAACCCCAAACUUUGCCCAAAAUGAUAAAAUUACUCCAAAUUUUUGUGACAUAAAAAAUCUCAAAUUUUGCUAAUUGUGACACAUUUAUCCCAAACUCUAUGGCCAAUGGCAUUUUUGUCUUAUUUUUUCAUUUUUCUGUUUUUCCUUUCAUUUUAUUUUUUUUUUUCCCUUUUUUCUUCUUCUCUCUUCCCUCUACCGGCCAUGGCGGAGGGAAGCCGGACUCAAGUGAGGGCAGCCCUCGCCUGGGUGUUGGCCUCGCCAGAUCUGGCAAGGGCAACCCUCUCCCUACGCAAGGUGAGGGCGCCCUCGCCUAGGCCGGAUUUGGCGAGGAAUGGCCUCACCUGACGCCAGCGAGGGCUACCCUCACUUGCGUUGGGCAAAGGUUGCCCUUGCUAGAUCUGGCACCCCUUGCCUAACCUAAGCAAGGGCCGCCCACACCAACCCAAGCGAGGGCGACCCUCACCCGAUGCUGGCGAGGGCAGCCCUCGCCUGAGUUCGACUUCCCUCCAUCGGCCAACAGAGGGAAGAGAGAAGAAUAAGAAAAAAAAAGAUUUAAAAAGUAAAAGACGAAAAUAUCUUAUAGUUUAGGGUAAAUCCAUCACACGGAUACAAGUUUAUGAUUUUUUCUGUCACGAAAAAAUAUUUGAGGUAAAUGUGUCACGAUUUGCAAAGUUUGGGGUUUUUUAUGUCACAAAAAAUUUGAGAUAAAGUUGUCACUUUGGGCUAAAUCUGAGAUUUUAGAUUUUUCUUGCAGUCGAUACAGACAUCAUUCUAGAUUAGAUCAAAUCACUCAUAUAACUAUCGCCCACAAAUUGCCCUACUUAUGUAUCACAGUGAUGAAUUGGCUCUCUUUUUGGUGAAAAAUGAAAUUUAUACUCAUAUCCAAAUUACAAGAGCGACAAGAGAAUAGCAUUUCGACUGAAGCUUGAAAAAAUUUCAAUUAAUAAGCAUUUACUUACCCUCUCCCUUGGAGUCCACUCCUUGAUUUUACCCACUUUACUCACAGCCGCCUCCCACCGUUCCCUGCUCUCACCGCUAGGCCUCUGCUCGUGCUUAUCCAAAUCCUCCACGUACAGUUACGUCUUGAGCGUGACAUCAGAGGGUGCGACGUCAAAGAAGAUGUGUAGGAUCUCCGGCUUCCCAGUCGAUUCGUUGAGCUCCAUCACACGAGCGAGCUUGCGGAGGCACCAAGCGCUCAAAGCGUAGCCUCUGGAAAGGACUAGUAUGCAGAUCUUGCAGUCGCAGACCACUCUUAGGAGAUUGUCGAUCCGAUCGCCAGUGUGAAUCUCUUCGCUGUCACUGUAGGCGACAAUCCUUUAGCUGACCAUGGUCCGAGAGAGGCAGUCAGCGAAGAUGUUGCGAGUGUCAAGGCACCUGAGUUAGAAUUUAAGGCCAAUCCCAAAUCAAAAUCAACUUUUUGCCCCAGCAAGCUUGUGCCCUUCGAUGUUGAGUCUUACUGCAAAUAUAAGAGACUUUGUCACAACGUGAACACGAGGUGUGGUAAUUGAAGAAAAAAAAGAAAGAAAGGGGAGAGUUUAGUCAAAAGGAAGGGAACAUAGGGGACAAGGAAGAAAAAAUUGAAGGCAUAAGAAAACAAAGGAGAGAGAAGGAAAAAGAGAGGCAGCGUAAAGAGGAGAAUAAAAUGAUGGAGCGCCGUUUGAGCAGAGACCUCAUCACUGCCCCUCGCAGUUGAGUAAACUCCAACACUUCUCUCGCAAUUUCGCAAGAUUUCCAAAUUCGAUCGCCAUUGUAAAUUCAUUCACCUCUCCAUCGCCUGAAUCGGUCAACUUUUGUUUAUAUAAUUGAGCAUGGACAAUUGAAAACAUCCGAAAAUGUGGUUUAUGGAGGAAAUGUCAAAUUACUUUUCGAUAUGAGGCGUGAAGUCUUUGGACUUUCAUCUGGCAUGCCCUUCUUUUCGAUUAUAAUUUGAUUUUCUGUUGGAUAUAUGAAUCCAAGAUUUGGUCAUCAAGAUAACUAAAGGCGGUGAUUUGACAUGUACGUCCAAGGUUUGACCAAGAUCAAGAUUUGGGACUCCUCUGAUUGCCAUAAAGUGAGGGACUCCUUUGCCACACGUGAAAGAGGGCUGAAAGGCUGGAUAGUAAAGUUCCUUUCUUUGGCCGCACAAAAGGAGCAAGAAACACAGUGACUUGUGCAGAAAAUUCAACAUCUAAUUGAGGCAUUUUUCUUUUUGUGCAUACAUGAGUGCUUCAAUUUGUCAGGUAAUUCUUAAUGAUUUAUAUAUCUAACUAUUACAUGAGACUAAAUACUAUAUGAUUAGGUAUAAUCUAGGGUUAGGAAACUCUUGAGUGUGCCGGGAAGUGUAACUCUAUAAUUUUUCAAUUGAAUAAUAAAUUAUUUGUGGCUAGUUCUUCUCAUGAAAUAAGUACAGGUCAUCGAAGUAAAAUACAUAAGUCCUUUUGUAUUCUUUAUUGUUACUCAUUGAUUUCUCUUGUGAUUUCGUUCUCUUGUGCUGAUUUAAUUGCAAAAAUAUGUUAACUAUCAGAUUAUUUUACAAAGGAUAUUUUGGAAUAGUUUAUAGGCUUUUUGCUUGUUUGACCGUUCUCUGGAAAUACUACUAUUGCAAUUACAUUGGAGCAAAAAUAGAAUUGAAAAGUUUAAUGGGACAAAUGACUUUAGAUUGUUGAGUGUUAUGCCAUCAACAACCAAAUAAUGUCUAAGGUGUUGAAUGGCAAGACUAAGUAGCCCGGAAUGAUGAGAGAUGCCAAUAGAGGAUGAGUUAAUGGAGGGGGCAAAGAGUAAAAUUAUGUUGAACCUUUCAAAUGAGGUGUUAAUAGAGGUGAUUGAAGAAAAAGAUGCCAUAGCAAUGUAGCCCACUUAGAUGAGUUUAAUAAUCUCAUAAUGGAUCUUGAAGAACCUUGAUGAGACCCUAUCUUAUGAAAAACAAGACAUGAUAAUGUUGGUGUCUCUACAAAAGUCGUUAUUAAUUAUUACUGGGGCGUAUAACAAUUGUGGUAAGUUAAUAGAUGGAAAUUAUAUUCAAACUAAUAGCAGUAAACCAUCCAAAUAUGUGGUUCAAUUCCUGAUUGGUUUUUGUAUUUCGGUAAGCUAGCACUAUUGGUGACAGGGUGACCGUACAACAGUGACUUCUAGAGUCGAGCUCAGUGCUGGGUUCGAGAGACCCUACAGAUUAGUGGCGUGUUCUACUAAUGAUAUUUGUUGGUCUCCGUCAUGACUUCCGCAUUUGUUUCCAUUGAUCUUCUCUAUUACAAGAAAAAGUGAAAUAUUCUUCUCCAAGUAUUGUAGCAUAAGAAAAUUUAAAUAUCAUCCAAUCCAUCCGCUUUCAUGUCCGAACAUUGCAAUGCUUCAUAUCAUAUUCAAGGUACAAUACAUUUGUUAUUUAAGGAUUACGUAGAAAAAUCAAUGAAUCGUUCAUAAUAAUUGGUAGACAAAUAGUGGAAAUAGGAGCACUAAAUAGUGUAAUAUGACUUAAUAAUAAUAAUAAACUACCCAUAUGCCAAUUCGUUGCAUUUUUAUAGAUUAGUAGGACACUCCUAACACCCCAAUCAAUCGCACCAACCUUUAAGAUUGGACCUACAACUUUUAUUGACAUAAUUAGCAUGAGGCACGAUAUUUAUGUUACCACUAUGUCAUCUUCAAUUAUUUGUCAAACUAGAUAUUUUUUAAACAUAAUUUUAUCAAUUGGGUCGAAGAGAACAUUUCUUUUAUUAGAGAGAUGUACAAAUAUAUAUAUUUUUUCAUUUCGGAUCCCAAUUCCAUCCACUUGGUAGCACAAUUCACAUGGUAAGUGCUGGCCAGUUUUAGUCACUAAAGUGGCGGAGUGAAAAAAAAAAAAAAAAACAAGCCAAGUUAAUGUCAUCAUAAUGCACUUUGGCUGCAUUUGGUAACCCAUUUGUAAAGCCUUCUGCAAAAUCAUAUGUUUACCAAAUAACAUUUCUCUUAAAAUUAUUUUCCAAGAUAUUUUUUAAUUUAUUUUACCAAACGGUCGUUAUUUUGCGUGCUUUUCAAAUUAAAAUCUUUGCAUUUCUCCAAAAGAAAAUUCAAAUCAAACGCAGCCUAUCAUGACCAUAGGUCCACAGCCACCAAAGCUACUCCUAGGGCGCGUUUGGUAACGAUUCUGUUCCCGGGAACAGAUUCUGACAAGAAAUGAUUAUUUUUUAUUCUGUUCCCGGGAACUGAUUCUGAGUAAAAGAAUGUGUUUGGUAACGAAUAAAAUUUCUGAUUCUGGAAUAGAAAAAGAAUAAAAACACGUUUGGUAACAGUAUAAAAUUUCUAUUCCAAUUCUUUUUUAAUUACCUUUUUAUAUGAAUAUAAAUUGAUAUUGAAUUUUCAUAAACCAUUCACUGAUUAAUUAUAUUUUUAUACUAAGUAAUAAAAAUAUUAACUAACCAAUUUUUAUUAAAUAGUAAAUAAUAAACCAUAGUAUAAACUAUACUAAUAUCUAAUACAUAUAAAUACUAAAUUAUAAUAUAAAAUUAAAUAUGUAUUAUGUAUACAGUAAAUAUAUAUUUCAAGAUAGGAAGAAAUUAAAAUAAAAUAUAGAAAUAAAAAAAUAGAUAAAAAUAAAAAAAAAUUUGUUGUUAUUUUAAAUUUGGUUUUCUUAUUAGAAUUUCAAUAUUAUUUAUAUUUAAAUAAGAUUUUUUUUUUUAUCAUGGUGAUUCUCAUUUUCAAUUAAUAUUUACUUUUAUAUGAUUAAAUAUCUAAUCCAUUUUGAAUUUAAUAUGGAUGAUNNNNNNNNNNNNNNNNNNNNNNNNNNNNNNNNNNNNNNNNNNNNNNNNNNNNNNNNNNNNNNNNNNNNNNNNNNNNNNNNNNNNNNNNNNNNNNNNNNNNGAUUAGCACUAAUGAAUGUGGUUAGUCUAAUUAGUGGAUCUCCCUCGGAUCUGGUUGCUGGACGCUCGCCGUUACCAUUUUAUGGAUUAAAUGUGUUACGAUUUGAGGUUGAUUCAUUCUUGAAAAAUGUUCUAGACAUCUUUAAAUAUGACUAUAUUUUACUCAAGAUUUUAAAGAUUUAAAAGAAUGAGAUUUCAAUUUCGUUAUUUGCGAAACAGAAUCUCGGAUUGUGUUGAAAAUAAUGACCUUUUAGUGUUUAAUGAAUUUUUAUCAAUUCCUAGGAUUCGAAUUUUGAAAUGGUCCUCCACAAAAGUUUUUCCUCACAUCUUGUAGUUUAACAUAGUAAAAUUUCAAAUCAAAAUGACAAGAUUUGGAUCUCGAACCAAACUGAUUUUGGAGAAUAUAAUUUCUGGACAUGGUCACAAUUUUGGUAACAAUUUGGGCGAUUUACUUCUCUCAAUCUAGAAAGAUCUGAGUUAAAGUGUCUUCAUAAAAAGUGUUUUCUUAUGUGUCAUUUACAACAUAUUCAAAUUUGAGAAUUUUCUGAACUUGUUUGAUUAGGUUUCUGGAAUUAAACUUGCAGACGUGCAAGUGGUCCCAUUUUCUACCGGUUAGGCCCGAUUAUAGUUUUGUGGUUGUUCUUGGUAUCUAACUUGCUAGAUAAUGUAUAUUUGGUGAUGUGGUUGACUUUUAGCAUGCUCGGAGCUUAUGCUUGAUAAUAUGUGAAAUUGAUUGUUUAAUUGUGCAAUUUGGUGCUUGGUUGUUAUUAUGAACUAUUAUUGCAAAAAUUGGAUUUUAUGGUAUUUAAAUAGAAAAAUACUGGGUGUCAGUUUUCGACACAAAAAUAUUUUAUGUAUUAUAUAAAAUCGUGGAAUUUUGAAAUGGGAGAGUACCACGUUUAUUGGCUCGAUUUAAAGGUGUGACCACAUACAAUUAUUUUACCGAGAAUUUUUAAUACGGAGAAAAUUGGCCAAGUCCAUUAUUUAAAAUUGAAGUAUUUGAGUGCAAAGCAUGAUGUUUUUUUGCCAAGUAUGGAUGUGCAUGUGGUCACUAUCGGAACCUGUCAUCCAUCGGGAAUCGAGGAGGCGAUGUCUUAUUAAAUUCAGAUGCCAUUGACAACGGAUGCUGGUCGCAGUGGAGGGUGAGCCGAUGCUCAUUUGAGAAUGCCGUCUAGAUGUAGAUGUUGUCAUGCCCAACGAAGUGAGAUGACACCUGGUUAUGCCGAAUGACUGCCAACUGUUGAGUUGGAUAUGGCCGAUGGGUUGUAAUAACUGAGAUACGCCUGAGUAAUUAAGAUAGCCGCGCUUGAUUAUAGGGAAAAAUGUGUGGCAUAGAAUGGGACGUGUUAUAAUGGUUUUAUUUUAUAAUCGAAACCCUUGUAAAUAUUUAAUGAAUGAUAUGAGGUGUUCCAGUUAUUGAAUACGUUUGAUAUAUGCAUAUGAUAUUUUUGAUGAGCUAAUGUGUAGAAAGAUGCUGAGACGAGGUAAGUUUGUGUGUGAUGCCUGUUUAGGUUGCUUCUGAGUGAAUUUUCGUCCUAAUCGGGGUUUAAGGUGUUGACUCUCUAAAAUUUUUAUCUCACUCCAUCGUAGGUUACCAUUUUCAGUGCCGUAGCGUGGAGAAUCCAGAGCCCGAGGUUGAAUGGUCUAGAGUGUAGAUGGCCUAGUGGUUUCUUUUUGAGUCAGACUUUAUGUAUAUGAACCUGUAGGGUUAACUCAGUUUGUUUAUAAAGUGUGUUUUGUGAGAAAGGUGUUGGCACGUGUUUUACUAUCCCAUGUAUUUGAUUAUUGUCCGAGGUUUGUUUAAUUCGCUUCCGCAUGUGCAUAAAAAUGAAAAAGGGUUUGCGACACGUCUUGGGAACGUCACAUAUUUAAUCGACUGCCGAGGGGUGUGCGCGUGCCCGGGAUCCGGGGCGUGACAAUACAUGUUAGAAUUCUUGACCAAAAAAUUUGUGGAAAAUGGAAAGUAGGAUGUGAUCAGUUCAGUUAACUCGAAGACAAAUUUCGACCCUGUAGUUUUUCAAUAUAUUUUUGUUGUAUGAAGUCCAAAAUUUUGAAAUUAAGUUAUGUUGUAGAGCAGCCAAUAAGAGAUGACUUUUGUGAAGAAGUCCCCAUGAAAUUCACUUCACAAAAGUUAGUACAAAAUUAGCAAAACUCGAGAUUGGGCUAAAACCAAACCUACCUUGACAACUCAUUUUCCAUUUUAACUUAACCAUUAGCAGCUUUAGCCCAGUAGUGUACACCGAUUUAGUAUAUAACUCUCUCAAGACGCAUAUGCUAACCCAAUGACUAACGUUCCAAGCUUUCUAACUAUAUAACCUUGUCCGUAACUUGCGACUAAAAGCUAACGUCUCCAAAAACACAAGAUUCAAUAGAAUUUUUAGGAAACUCUCAUCGUCACACGACAAAUGAUCAAUAUAAGAUGGAACAGAAGAUAUCUACUUGCCUCGGAUACUCAUGAACGGCAGUUGCGACUUGAUGGGACGAAGGCGAGUUUGACAGCAGUGACGAUUGAGCUAAGGUGUGCCCAACGGCCAACUUGGACGGCUGAGCGCUUCUGUCUUCUAUAGUCGAGGGUCAUGAGUCCAAGGCUUGCACCGAAUAGCAAGCUCGAGGAAGGGUGUGACAGUGAGCUAAGGGGACGUCGGGCAAUAGGUGAACUUGAAGAGAUAGCGGUGGACCGAGAUGGGGGAAACUGAGGUGUGAUGGUAACGAUGCUCAUUCUAUGUAUAGUAUGGGAAUGAAAAGGAGAAAAGUACUAGGGGUAUUGGAAGACAAGCAAUGGGGACAAGAGGAUGAGUGGCUUCGUCUCUCUCUCUCUCUCUCUCUCUCUCUCUCUCUCUCUCUCUCUCUCUCUCUCUCUCUCUCUCUCUCUCUCUCUCUCUCUCUCUCUCCUUGCAUUCGGUCUUCAUCGGUCCACUAUAGUAUCUGAGAUGUUGUUUGCUGCUAUUUUGCUAAGGAAGGCUUAACACGCGGUUGGUCAACUUGCUAACCCUAUGGAGUGGACAUGGUAGUCGACUAAGGGGGAAGGGAAAAGCAGAUGGUGAAGCUAGGAAAAAGAAUGUGAGAAAUGGCCAUUACGCUUUUAUCUUAUGCCUUUCUUCUUCAUUUGCUACUUGCUACCGAUGAUUCGUCACAAUUUGGGAAACGGUGGAGGAUUAAGUGACACGUUGGUUGUUCUGGUAAGUGCAUUCACACUAGCUGGGUAGGCGUUGUUUGUUGUUUACCAGCUAUAAGUGCAACAAGGUGAAGGGAAUGAUCGUUUGAGUUGGUCCUCGUGCGGUGGGAAUGGAUAUCGGAAUUGUUGGCAAUGAGGUAGCGGCCGCGUCUCGAUGAUGUGGAUGCAUCCUCGAAUGAGGUGGAAAUGGUGUCACUCGAUGAUGAUACUGUAAGGAUGCGAACAACAUUGUUCGACGAUAGGUUCGACAAUGUGGCAUGGGCUAUUAUAUAUUCAAGACUCACUAUUUUGUUGAGCUAAAAAUCCAGAUGUCACACCCUCAUUAGUUCAAUUGAAGUAGUUUCGAACUUAGGACUUAUCAAAAUGAUAGUGUAUGGUGUUAUCAAGUUGUAGCAUUUUGCAGAUCUCAAUUUUAGCUUACGGUUUGUGCAUAAUGGAAUUCUCAAGUUCAGCGCACGUUCUUGACAAAGUUCCGAACAGUAACUUUGAGCCAAAUUUCAGUCAUUUCCGACAAGGUCUUAGGAUGGCUAAGUUGGGGUUCUUAUUGUAUGUCAAAAUGGCUUUCUAAGAACUAUAAGUUGGCUUGAAAUGAAAUUCUAUGGAGGAAGUUGUGGCACAAUGAAAUUUAACAUGCGAGCUGCGCCUAGCAAACAAUAAUAGGUUUAUGCUAAAGGCGAGCUUUCCGUUGGUGCGUAGGUGUCAUUUUAUCAACAAAUAUGUGUCGUUCAUUAGAAUAUCGUUUCACUUGAUCUUUUGAUAUUAUUUUUCGGUUAUUUGUUAAGAAUUCAAGUGCAUUGACUUGAGUAACCACCUUAGUUGGUAUUUGGCUUUUUUUAAGGUGAGUGGUAUUAUUUCUUUUUUGCGUUAACUCAUGUUUUGAAAAGCAUUGUGGAUUUAGUACGCUAUGAGUUAAGAAUAGCAUUUUUUGUGGAAUAAAGUAGGAUCAAGCCUUUAUUGCUGUUUUGUUGUUUGAAAGGAAAUAUGAUCGUUUGACUUCAACUUAAAUGAUUGCUUAUAAAUGGUUUGUGAAAUUUUUUAUGAAAGAACCUUGAAAAGUUCAUGAUUUGUUAAUGUGGUUUUGAAAGGGGCUUUGAUACUUAAAUAUCGAUUGCUUGAAUUGUGAGAUAAUUUUGAUUAUGGUUGUGGAGUAUUGGAGAUUUGUGAUUGAUGGUUGAUACUUGGUGUCUUUAUGAACCCAAAGGGAUGUAUGGGUAUGCAUAUACUAGUCGAAAAUAACCUUGUAGACUGAGUCACCAACUAAUAAUAGGUAUAAAUCUAACUAAGGGGGGAAUCUUGGUUGCUUUUUCACAAGAGUUACAUGUGACCAUGGUUAGACACUUAAGCAUAAGAUUGGUCAAUGGAGUGGACCAUUGACAUGUGUUUUUAUGAGAUUGACCAAUGGACUGGACUAUUGAGGUUUGCUUUAUUAUUAAUUUUGGGUAUUUCUGCUAUGAGAAUAUAAUGUUAAAGUAAGAGAUAUCACACUUUGGUCUUGAAAGUUGCAUAGUAAUUGUUCAAUUCGCUUUGAAGAAAUGUAUUACUUACUGAGCCGUGAUAGCUCACUACUUUCAUCUACUUGCUUUUACAGGUUCUUCAGCGAGCUGCAAGUAGGACAUGAGCGUUGCGUUAUCAGGGAGGGCUUUUUGAUAGUAGAAACUUUUUUGUACGAGUUGUAUAUAAUUGAUAAGUUUGUGAGUUAGUUUUUGGUGGAUGUGUCUAUAUUUGUUUAGUGAUUUGUAGAAAUACUCUGAUAUUGUAACCAAAUGCUCUUUUUGUCAAAUAUGUUUGUGUGUGUGUACUCUAAUAUUGUAACCAAAUGCUCUUUUUGUCAAAUAUGUUUGUGUCUGUUUGUGUGUGUGUGUGUGUGUGUGUGUGUGUGUGUGUGGGUGCGUGUGCGCACGUGCGUGCAUGUGUCUGUGCCCGUGCGUGUGCGCAGGUGUGCGUGUGCGUGUGCAUGUGAGUGUGUGCGCGCGUGUGUGUGGACGUAUAUAUAUUGUUAUCAAGCUAAAUUUUGGCUAUGCUAAGGCGACAUCCUUCGGUGCAAGGACAACCAUGUCAUGCCCUUGUUCUUGUUGAGUUGGGGUGUGACAAGAAGAACAUAGGAUGAAUGAUUUCGACUUAGCGAGGAGGAUGAUGCGGGAGCAUCCAACUUAGCUCAAUUAGCCCACUUAGCACCAUCAUUGCUCAUUCAAGCCAAGAUAGAAUUUAGACAUAACAUACUUCAAUGGGUCGAGACUGAAAUUUUAAACUAAAAUGGUACCAAACAAUUUUUACUGAAAUUAUCAAUACUGAUGAUUAAUGAGUUACCAAAGUUAUCAAUAUGAUAUAUUCAUUGUUGAUUUCUCGGUAUGCUUUAGUGGUUGCUAAUCUCGAAGUUUAUCAAUGACAUAUCAAUGAGAGGUCAUUAUGAGCAACUUCCUUGGUUAUUUGAUGAUGUCUUGAGGUAUUUAUCUUCUAGUCAAGGUGGGAGCACGAAUUUUGCAAGACUGAAGAAUUAAGAAUGCAAGUUCCCAAGUCAUCCAAUGCAUCUCUAUUUUCUAGGAGUUUUCAUUGUUUUGUAAGUUUCAAGAGUCAAAGUUUUGAAUUUUUAGGUCUAUAAUGUUAGGCUAAUUCCCAUAUCUAUUUAUUUAUAUUUCUUAAGUUGAAUUCCUCCUAUAAAUAGAAGAAGUCUCUCAACUAUAAUCAGACAAGAUUUGAUGAAUGAAAAUACUUGAGAGUUCCUCUGCAUGAGUGAAUAUCUUUGGAGAGUGAAUAACUCUUAUUUCAAUCUCUUUAUCCUUGAAAAGUGGAUUACUCCUCAAUGGUGAACCAAGAAGCGUUUUAUCCUCGGCUAGUGGAUUUUCCUUUAGAAGCUAGUGGUGAGCUUCUUCUAUUUCGAAAUCCUUUAUCCUUGACAGGUGGUUCGUCCUAUAACCCUUGGUGGUGAACUUCAAUUAUCCUUAUUAUCAUCAUUGGUUGGUGGCACGUCCUUUAUACCUUGGUGACAAUAAUUUUUUAUCCAUAUAUUCGUAUUUCAUCCUUCGACAAUCAUCCCAUACACAUCUCUUUCCUUACACUUGACCACAAAAUCCCGACACCUAGAAUCAAUUGCCCACGCAUGCAUCAAGGAGACUGCAAGGAAAGUUUGUACUGUCAAUGUAAGCUACUAGAUGAAAUUAUAUCCAAAUUUAUAUCAACAUACCAUCCAAAGAUGUGGUCAUGGUAGGUGGAUGGCGGCAGCGGGCAAAGGAAGAAGAAGAGACGAAAAGGAAAAGAAAAAAAGAGAAAAAUUAAAAAAUAAAAAGAAAUUCUACGUCACAAAAAAACUUAUGACUCAUAAGUGUUUAUGUUCUUUUUCUAUUCCGAGAAUAAAAAUUUUAUAUAAUUAUCAAACGUGUUGUUUUGCUCAAAAACUGUUUCAAGGAGUAGAAAUAGAAAAGUUGUUCCUAUGAACAAAAAUGUUACCAAAGGCACCCUAGCUCUCCACAAGGUUAAAAUAUUGUGGUUUUGAAUGUAAUCUAGUAUUGGAAAGCACUUGAGCGUGAAGUGAAUUAUUUGCGACUCACUCUCUUUGUUGAGUAAGAUUCAGACCUAACUACAUAAAUAUCUUAUAUUCGUUAUUGUUCCUUAUCGAUUUAUCUAGUUAUUUCAUUCUCUCACAUUAAUUUAAAGGCAAGACCCAAUUAGCUUCCGCAUUAAUUUUAACACAAUUAUUAUCAAAGUUAAGACCGGGACUUUUUGGAUUUGAUUUGGAGCUUUUGCUUAUAUAAUCAUUGUCUAGUAAUUAUGUUGGUACAAUUAUGUGUGGAGCAAAAAUAGAAAUUGAGAAGUUUGAGGGAGGCACAACUUGGGCGAUGAAGUGAGGUGGGUGCACUAUAAAUAACCAAGGUUUGGUCUAGGCAUUGGAUGACAAAGCUAAGUUGCCGAAAAAUGUUGAUUAAGAUUUAAUGAAGGCAGUAAAGAGUAUCUAAGACUAACUUUUAAAGGCCAAGCAUCCCCAGUCAUGUUUUGCUAAAUUGAACAUGUUAGUUAGAACUUAAGGAGAAUCCCAAAUCAGAAUAAACUUUUUGCCACAGUAGCUUGUAUCCUUCGAUGCUAAGUCUUACUGUAAACAUAAAAAACUUCAUCACAACAUCAAUGGGGAAAAAAGGAGGAAAAAGAGAAGAAGAAAGAAAGCUUUUACUACAGUAGUUUGUAUCCUUCGAUGCUAAGUCUUACUGUAAACAUAAAAAACUUUGUCACAACAUCAAUGGGGAAAAAAGGAGGAAAAAGAGAAGAAGAAAGAAAGGAGAGAGUUCAGUCAAAAAGGAGGGAAACAUGUGGGACAAGGAAGAAGAAUUUGAGGGCAUAAGAAAACAAAGGAGAAAGAGUAGGAAAAAUAGAGGAGAGCUUAAAGAAGAGAAUAAAAUAAGGGAGAGGGAAUGAUUGUCAAAAGCAAGAGGAGAAAAGGGAAGAAGGAAAUAGAGAGUAAGCGGAGCAACUAAGAGAGAUAGAUAGGAGUAGUAUGAGUGCUCCCAAGAUUUGACAAACUAGAUUAAAUCCGUUUCGUAACAUACAGUAAGGAUUUGAACUUCAUUGAAAUUUCAUAGUUGGGCUAUAAAUUCAGAUCCAUUCAAAUUCUGAAUUAUUGGGUUCAUUCGAUAGAAGUUUACCAAAUGCUCCAAGUAUAAAGAUAAAUAAGUCUUUAUUUUAAGUUCUUCAUUAGAGGUUGUGCCCCAUUGCAUAAUCUGACAUGUGAAGAACAAAUUAAGAAGAGCAGAUCAAUAUGAUAAAGAGUCUAAUUAAUGGACCCGAAUGCUUUGAAGAAUUCGCACCGCCAAAGAAAAAAAAGUGGUCGGCGUUUGUCUGCCGAGGAUCUCCAAUGCCUAGGUCAAUGUAUUUUUGCAGAAGGAGAGGCUAAAUAUUGAGAAUGCAUACAUUGCCGAAGGACAUUUGUGUUUUGUAGAGGGAGAUCACGGGCUUACUAUUCUGGGCUUAUCCACAGGUUAGUGUGCUCUAUAAGCUUGUUUUUCUUGCCUGUAGGACCCAAUAUUUCUUGUAUUCGUCAAGCCUGGCCCAACCAAUGCGAUGAAUCAAAGCAGAAUUCUCCUCUUACUUUAGUACAGCUCCAAGAGAAGUAACAGGCUUAUGUGUGUUAUAAACAUAUUCAAAUUACCAUACAAUGCGUAACGAAGCAGUAUGACAAUAUUUAAGAAGAGUCAGGUUAUGAGUGGUAGGUCAAUAGUCAAGACAAGUGGUCCAUAUACAUGAUCUUGUAGAGCCUAAUGCAGCUAUAUCGAAAUAAAAAGGUUCAUUCCAUCUUAAGAUAACUACAGAGUGAUAUAAUGAAAUAGUUAUUAUUAUUAUUAUUUUUUUUUUGUGACUGAGGAACCGCCGAAGACCCCUUAUGGGGUCACACCGCCCUCCAAUGCCUGGUGGCACCGUCGGACGUUGUUGCAAGCCACUAUUUAGACGUAAAUCUCGGGGGAGAUUGGCCCAACAUUCCACCGCCGGGCCCUCCGCUUCAAUCGCUAGUAACGUAGGGAGCGAAUACCACUUGCGCUGCCCAUGGGUGGGUAUGAAAUAGUUAUUGAUUAGAAGUAAAUAAAUAAAAUAAAAUAAAAUAAACUUUUCAUCCUGCACUUUAACGCUUUUUCUAAUCAAUUCCUGGUACUUUUAAUUUUCUAACAAAAUCCUUCUACUUGCACUGUUAGUCAAAUGAAUAUCUUCCAACACCAUCUUUGGUUAGACCUAGCCGAUAUGAUUGUCCAACAACAAUAGGACAUUUUAUGAACAUGGAUGCUACCAUGAGAACACAAAAAAGAAUUUGUCAACAUUGACAAAAUAGUGCCAACAUCACUCUUUGAUGUCGUUGAUGGUGAUAUCGGGAGAUUUGAUUAGAUAAUCUGUGCAAGUGAAAAAAAAUUAAUUAGAAAAAUUACAAAUCAAUUAAAAAAUUUCAUGACAGUAUAGGAGCGGAAAGCAAAAAUUUUCCAGAAUUAAAAUAUCCAACGGAAAAGCAUCGUAGGAGGGAAAAUUCUCGCAUAGAUUGAGUUCAAGGUCUGACCACAUAUAAUCACAUGGAGUUCAUACAAUAAGAAAAAAGAAUGGAAAAGCCAUUCUUUUAUGUUUUUCUUUUUUUUCUUUUUCGCUUUUUCAGCUCACAGUUGUUGUCUGUCCAUGGCCGAGCCACGCCCUCCGUCGUCAAGGCGGCUCGCGGUCGUUUCCCAUCCAAAGCUGAAUCUAAAGUUGUGCCUCCAGAUCUGGCCUCAAGUACGGUCGCAAGCCUUGGCUUGUCCAUGGCUUGUGAGGUAGCUCAUCCACAUAUCUAGCGGCCACGGCUCAUCCGUCGCUGUGAGCCUUGACAUUGAGCUCAAUAUCCCAAUGGCCAUCGACCGCGAGCUCAAAAGCAGAUAAAGAAUGGAUGAACGAAGUCGAAGGCUUCCGUGCAGCACGAGUGAGUGACGCCAACGACGCUUGAACGUGCUCGGCCAUGGACGAACUAUGCUAACGACAGCCAAGGACGAACUAUAUGCCAACAGCAGCAUUGAACGCAUUCGGCCAUUGACAACCAAAUCUACAGAGCGACACCAGCAGAGGCUAGACGCAGCGCCGCCAAAGUGAAGGAGCAACUAAAAUUAGUUGAACACACUCUUGAUAAUUGAGAUGACAUAGUCAGAAGCCCGUGCCCUUUUGCUUCUGCCACUAAAAUCUAUUCCUAGAAGAAAGUAGAAUUGCUUGCGGACGUCAUCUAAUUAGUCUCUUCUACCAUUAGCUUUGCCCACUUCACAGUGAUUGGCACAGGAAAGACUAAUAUUUUCUCGUCUCAGAUCUAGUCAUCCGUGCCAGUGUAAUGCUAGGACCAAGGAUUGCGUGUAUUAGUGAUCUUGACAGAUUUUGGAGGAGGCCGGGUUAGAUUGACUUAAUGAUCACUGUUUGGGACAUUGCAAAAUUGCCAACUUCCGCUUGUUUUCUCUGCAUUUCUCCUCUUGGUCUUUUGCACUCUUCAGUUAUUUGAGAAUUUUGUAGAAUCAUUCAUUUACCCACACAAAACAAAUAGCUUGCUCUCCAUGACCACUUAAUAGAUAACAGUGACAGAAAUUGGCUGUAAAGCACUCAACUACCAAAUUUAGUUGGAUAUUUGGAAUGUUUUCAUCGUCAUGCAAAAAAUGACUCCUGAUGGCAUAAAUAAAAAAAGAUGACAUCUGACACAAAGAUUCAGGCAAACUCAUUCCCAAAUGAGGCUACUUCUUUCAAUUUCUAUCAAUCAGCAAUCACAACUACUAAUAGCUAACGAGUCACCUGCCAGCGCCACCGAUACCAAUACAUUGAGUAACGCUGCGCUGGUUCUUUAUUUGCAUAGUGCCACACUUUGAGAAAAAGUAUCAUAUGCAUUGGAAAUUAUUAUCCAAGUUGUCGAAAAUCUGGACGAUGCUUCCAUGUGGCAAGUAAUCUGAUAUUCACAAACCGAAUGACUUCCCUCAAUGAAUGGACAGUUAGCAAAUCCUCAAAGCAGAGUAGAUCCACACGCAAACGCAUUCCUUGCACUUGAGUUUAUCAAGGAGAGUGUUCUCUUGGAGCCAUUAAUUUAGCUUUCAUUCCCUUAACCAUAAAGCAUAGAGAUCCAUUCAGUUCUUCCUGACUCCAUGUCUGCAUCAUCCUGCAAGACAAUGUACUUCUCGUUUCUGCCCCAGAAGACUUCUCCCUUGAAAAAACCACAAGGGCUUGCAGACACACUGUAAUAUGCCUACGGAACAAUCAAUUUUGUCCUUUUUCAUUUUUUAUUUUUCGGAAUUUUUUCCAUCUCAUCAUCCUAGAUCAGGAAAAGAUGAGUUGGUCUUCUACCUACAUUGGAGGACAAUAAAAUGCAACUAUGAUCCAUUCACCAUGCCCUAAUGUCCAAACAUUACAGUUUUUUGCGUCACAAGCAUUCAUGAACUGUAGGGAAAAGCAAACAUUACAGUUUUUUGCGUCACAAGCAUUCAUGAACUGUAGGAAAAGCCAAUCACGACCGCAACUCUACAAGUACAAGGACAAUGACAUAUCCAUCCUUUUAUCCAAAGGACACAACCUCAACAUUACUAUCAUCAACCUAUUGUCAAUAUAUAUACAUCUAUAUAUAUUUGAUAAAAGGAUAUGCAUAUCUCCAAACAACAACCAGACUCAAAGGUUCAAUUCAACCAUGAACAACUUAUACCUAAAAAAUACAAUUAUUAAAACAUCCUCCUGAAGACGAAAAUGCUUUAUUCCUAUUUGCAGCUCAUUGAAAAACCCGAAUAGCAAGAUGAAUGGAAUGAGCAACUACAACCCAAUAAGUAGUACAUCUUUUUUAAGUAGAUUGAACGUUCACUAUGCAUCUUUAUAAUACAAUAUCGUAACUCAUCAAUCCCCAAUUCAGUAUAUGAUAUAUAUAAAAUAUCCAAGACUGAUGAUAUCUUUUUAAUAAUACUUAGUAUAAGAUCAAUUAACAAUAUCAACUUAUAAUAACAAAUCAAUCAUCAAUGGUUUAUUCUAUCGAUCAAUCUCAAUUAAAUAAAACAUCAAUAGUCUAUUCAAGAAACUAAUCUAAUGCUCUAUACAUAACUAUGGCCAUGCUUAAUGCUCAUGACAAACACGACCAAGUUUUCGGCCCUUGACUAGGUCUCCUUUUAUAUUGAUGGGUGGUUUGGCUUAGAAGGAUGUCCUAAUAACAGUAUGCAUACUUACCCCUUCAAUAGAUUCUAAUCAUAGCAACAUGGGCAUAAUCCAUUAACAACAUUCUCCAAUAACCCCCAAUUAAAUCAUAAAUUCAUCUCACAAAUUAGUUCCACAAACCUAAUCAUAUGGCCUUUUCUCAAUUCCUUUUAUCAAAUACGCUGCAUCUCAUAACAUUUCACAAUCAAUACAUAUAAUUUUCGGCAAUUCUUUUUUACAAAAUAUUUAAUCAAGACUUUUACAAUUGAUUAUUUGAAACUAUUUUAAAUACUGCCUUCCAAUGCCUUGUCAACAGACUAAAAAAGUAGUAAAUGCUCAAUCUAGGUUAUACAUAAAUUAUGCUUUUCAUGACUCAUGCUCUAUUAAAUCUCUACUACUUUCAAGAUAUGAGUUUGUAAAUUAUAGAAGAGAUAGUAUUACUCACUUGGAAAAGCUGAAAGCCCCUUACUCAUAAGGUAAGAUUCCCUUCUCUUCAUCCAAGAUCCAUUUAUCCCUUGUUGUCAUGAUAAUCUUACUCCCAGAAUAAAAAGUGUCAAGGCCCCCAACUAGUUUGUUUUUCUUUUUUUUUCUUUUUUUUUUUUUUUUUGGUCAAUUACUAGUUUGUUAAGUUGUUCUUCAUUCUCUAGAUUGUCUAGAACAAUGAGAACUUUCUUAGAAUGAGCUCUCCUUCUUGUGCUCCCUUCAUUAGUUUUUGCGAUAAACCAUCUCUCUAGAUUUACUAGGCCAUUUCCCUUUGAUGAUUCUUGAAUGUCCCCAAUGAAGCUACAUUGUCCAUCAAAGUGAGGACACAAUUCAUUGUAAACAAUCUUAGCGAGAGUAGUUUUACCCAUCCCUCCCAUUUCAUGGAUUCCAACGAAAUGCACACCAGUGCCAGAGUCAACAUCUAACGACUUCAUUAUGGCUUCUACCUAUUCAUCUAACCCAACCAAUUUGCCUUCCAAAGGUCUUUGUUUUACUUUUAGCUUACGUAGAACCUCUUUCACGAUGAGAUCAAUGAUUUCACCGUGUCUGCCACAAUCAAACAUUUUUAGUGCAAGCAAAUAAAUGGCAAUCUCACUACUACUUCCUUGCAGAUAGCAUUUGAGUUUAACCACUAUUUCAAGUGUUUGGUAAAUUCUAAAAGCCAGAAGAAUUUUGGUUGGAUAGACUCCACAAGAUAUGAUAGGUGUUAUGACGAUAAACUUACGAUUUCACCCAUUUCUGAAAAGGGAAAAAGCCACCAAAAACUCCAAAUUUUGUCCAAAGUGAUAAAUUUACUCCAAAUUUUUUUUGUGACGUAAAAAACCUCAAAUUUUGCUAAUCAUGACACAUUUACCCCAAACUCUAUGGCCAAGGACAUUUUUGUCUUAUUUUUUUCCCUUUUUUUUUCCUUUUCUUUUUUUUUUUUUCCUUUUUUCUUCUUCUCUCUUCCCUCCACCGGCCAUGGUGGAGGGAAGUCGGACUCAUGCAAGGAUGGCACUCACCUAGGUGUUGGGCAAGGGUUGCCCUCGCCAGAUCUAGCACCCCUCCCUUGACCCAAGCGAGCGCCACCCUUGCCAGCCCAAGCGAGGGCGACCCUUGCUCGAUGUCGGCAAGGGCAAUCCUUGCCUAAGUCUGGCUUCCCUCCCCUGGCCAACGGAGGGAAGAGAGAAGAAGAAGAAAAAAAAGGAAAAAAAAAAGUAAAAAGUAAAAGACGAAAAUGUCUUAUAGUUUAGGGUUAAUCUGUUACAUGGAUACAAGUUUUACGAUUUUUUGUAUCACCAAAAAAAAAAGUUUGAGAUAAAUGUGUCACGAUUAGCAAAGUUUGAGGUUUUUUAUGUCACAAAAAAAAGUUUAUGAUAAAUUUGUCAUUUUGGGUAAAAUUUGGGGUUUUUUGUGGCUUUUUCCCUUCUGAAAAAGAAGAUUUUUCUUUGCGAUCCGAAUUACAGACAUCAUUCUAGAAUUAGAUCAAAUUCACUCAUAUAACUAUUGCCAGCUAAAUUGCCCUACUUAUGUAUAACAGAGUUGAUGAAUUGGCUCUCUUUUUGGUGAAAAAUGAAAUUUAUUACUCAUACUCCAAAUUACAAGAGUGAUAAGAGAAUAGCAUUUCGACUGAAGCUUGAAAAAAUUUCAAUUAAUAAGCAUUUACUUACCCUCUCCCUUGGACUUUCCAACCCUUGAUCUUACCCACUUUACUCACAGCCGCCUCCCACCGUUCCCUGCUCUCACCGCCAGGCCUCUGCUCGUGCUUAUCCAAAUCCUCCACAUACAGUUUCAUCUUGAGCUUGACAUUGGAGGGUGUGACAUCAAAGAAGAUGGGUAGGAUCUCCGGCUUCCCAGUCGAUUCGUUGAGCUCUAUCACACGAGUGAGCUUGCGGAGGCACCAAGCGCUCAAAGCGUAGCCUCUGGAGAGGACUAGUAUGCAGAUCUUGGAGUCGCAGACCACUCUCAGGAGAUUGUCGAUCCAAUCGCCAGUGUGAAGCUCUUCGCUGUCACUGUAGGCGACAAUCCCCUAGCUGACCAUGGUCCGAUAGAGGCAGUUAGUGAAGGUGUUGCGAGUGUCAAGGCUCUUCUGAACCUGAGUUAGAACUUAAGGCCAACCCCAAAUCAGAAUCAACUUUUUGCCUCAGCAAGCUUGUGCCCUUCGAUGCUGAGUCUUACUGCAAAUAUAAGAGACUUUGUCACAACGUGAACACGAGGUGUGGUAAUUGAAGAAAAAAAAGAAAGGGGAGAGUUUAGUCAAAAGGAGGGGAACAUGGGGGACAAGGAAGAAAAAAUUGAGGGCAUAAGAAAACAAAGGAGAGAGAAGGAAAAAGAGAGAGGGACCGUAAAGAGGAGAGUAAAAUGAUGGAGCGCCGUUUGAGCAGAGACCUCAUCACCGCCCCUCGUAGUUGAGUAAACUCCGACACUUCUCUCGCAAUUUGGCAAGAUUCCAAAUUCGAUCGCCAUUGGAAAUUCAUUCACCUCUCCAUCGCCUGAAUCAGUCAACUUUUGUUUAUAUAAUUGAGCACGAACAAUUGAAAACAUCCGAAAAUGUGGUUUGUGGAGGAAAUGUCAAAUUACUUUUUGACAUGAGGCGUAAUGUCUUUGGACUUUGAUUUAGCAUGCCCUUCUUUUCGAUUAUAAUUUGAUUUUCUGUUGGAUAUAUGAAUCCAAGAUUUGGUCAUCAAGAUAUCCAAGGGCGGUGAUUUUACAUGUACAUCCAAGGUUUGACAAAGAUCAAGAUUUGGGACUCCUCUGAUUGCCAUAAAGUGAGGGACUCUUUUGCCGCACGUGAAAGAGGGCUAAAGGGCUGCACAGUAUAGUUCCUUUCUUUGGCCGCACAAAAGGAGCAAGAAACACAGUGACUUGUGCAGAAAAUUCAACAUCUAAUUGAGGCAUUUUUCUUUUUGUGGAUACAUGAGUUCUUCAAUUCGUGAGGUAAUUAUUAAUGAUUUAUAUAUCGAACUAUCACGGCGAGACUAAAUACUAUAUGAUUAGGUAUAAUCUAGGGUUAGGAAACUCGAGUGUGCGGGGAAUUGUAACUCUAUAAUUUUCCAAUUGAAUAAUAGAUUAUUUGUGGCUGACUCUUCUCAUGAAAUAAGUAUGGGUCAUUGAACUGAAAUACAUAAGUCCUUUUGUAUUCUUUGUUGUUACUCAUUGAUUUCUCCUGUGAUUUCUUUCUCUUGUGCUGAUUUAAUUGCAAAAAUAUGUUAACUAGCACAUUAUUUUACAAAUGAUAUUUUGGAAUGGUUUUUAGGCUUUUGCUUGUUUGACCGUUCUCUGGAAAUAUUGCUAUUGCAAUUACAUUGGAGCAAAAAUAGAAUUGAAAAGUUUAAUGGGACAAACGACUUUACGUUGUGGAGUGUUAUGCUAUCAACAACCAAGUAAUGUCUAAGGUGUUGAAUGGCAAGACUAAGUAGCUGGAAAUGAUGAAAGAUGCCGACAGAGGAUGAGUUAAUGGAGGGGGCAAAGGGUAUAAUUAUGUUGAAUCUUUCAGAUGAGAUGUUAAUAGAGGUGACUGAAUAAAAAGAUGCCAUAGCAAUGUAGCCCACAUAGAUGAGUUCAAUAAUCUCAUAAUGGAUCUUGAAGAAUUUUGAUGAGACCCUAUCCAAUGAAAAACAAGACAUGAUAAUGUUGGUGUCUCUACCAAAGUCAUUAUUAAUUAUUACUGGGGUGUAUAACAAUUGUGGAAAAUUAAUAGAUUGAAAUUAUAUUCAAACUAAUAGCAGUAAACCAACCCAAUAUGUGGUUCAAUUCCUGAUUCGUUUUUGUAUUUUGGUAAGCUAGCACAUAUCGGUGACAGGAUGACCGUACGACAGUGACUUCUAGAGCCGAGCUCAGUGCUGGGUUCGAGAGACCCUACAGUUAGUGGCGUGGUCUACUAAUAAUAUUUGUUGGUCUCCGUCAUUGACUCUUCCGCAAUUGUUUCCAUUACAUCUUCCUAGUACAAGAAAAAGUGAAAUAUUCUUCUCCAAGUAUUGUAGCAUAAGAAAAUUUAAAUAUCAUCCAAUCCAUCCGCUUUCAUGUCCGAACAUUACAAUGCUUCAUAUCGUAUUCGAGGUACAAUACAUUUGUUAUUUAAGGAUUAUGUAGAAAAAUCAAUGAAUUGCUCAUAAUAAUUGUUUGAUAAAUAGUGGAAAUAGGAGCACUAAAUAGUGUAAUAUGACUUAAUAAUAAAAUACUACUCAUAUGCCAAUUCGUUGCAUUUUUAUAGAUUAGUAGGACACUCCUACACCCCAAUCAACUGCACCAACCUUUAAGAUUGGACCUACAACUUUUAUUAACAUAAUUAGCAAGAGGCCCGAUAUUUAUGUUACCACUAGGUCAUCUUCAAUUAUUUGUCAAACUAGAUAUUUUUUAAACAUAAUUUUAUCAAUUGGAUCGAAGAGAACAUUUUUUUUAUUAGAGAGAUGUACAUAUAUACAUACAUAUAUAUAUAUAUAUAUAUAUAUAUAUAUAUAUAUUCAUUUCAUAUUCCAAUUCCAAUCCACUUGGUAGCACAAUUCACAUGGUAAGUGUUGGCUAGUUUUAGUCACUAAAGUGGCGGAGUAAAAAAAACAAAAAAGCCAAGUUAAUGUCAUCAUAAUGCACUCUGGCUGCUUUGGUAACACAUUUGCAAAGCUCUCUACAAAACCAUAUGUUUACCAAAUAAUUUCUUUUAAAAUUACUUACCAAGAUAUUUUUCUAUUUAUUUUACCAAAAGGUCAUUACUUUGCGUGUUUUUUAAAUUAAAAUCUUUCCAUUUCUCCAAAAGAAAAGUCAAAUCAAACGCAGCUUAUCAUUACCAUAGGUCUGCAGCCAGAAAAGCUACUCCUAUCGUCCAGAAUCGGCCAUGGACAGUGCGCCAGUGGGCCAGUGGCCCAGUGGUAGAAAAUCUGCCCGGUGCAACUCAAAAUAUGACACUGUAGUCCAUGAUAGAAAUUCAGGCAAACCGCUCAAUUUGUUAUUUAAUUUUCUUUAAGUUUUCACCUCCGUAGCCCCCACAUCAGUGCUAAAUGUCCUUCAAUUGCACAAUAAAAAAAGUCAAAACAAUAAAUAAGGUCACGCUAUAUAUUUUCAUUGUCUAAAAUCAAUGGGCUUAUCAAAUAUACUACUAGUACUUGAUUGCACAUUUUGACAAGCUCUAGAACUCAAUGGCAUGAUACAACAAUUUUGGCGAACCUCAUUUGUGGAUAUUGUCAUAUAAAAUCAGCAGACUUAUCGAAUAUACUUGAAAUUCUGAUUUAUGAAAUUGUUGAGUAGAAUUCUCUUAUGUCUUUGCUCCCACAGCUUAUACCAAAGAAUCUAUGGGAAAAAUGGGUUCGGCUCCUAAUGACUAAUUUAAACGUUCGACAGUCCAUUCUUUAUUUCAAACAUUCUGCAAUAAUUUAAAAUCGUGAGAAUUGACAACAAAUAUCAUCAAAUUAUUAUAAGGAAAAAACUCAACUCCUUUUAUAUCUACAAAAUUACGAAUUUCUCAGCGUUUCCAAAACAUGAGACUCACUGGAAUUGUGUGCGUGACUGACUUUUCAGGCGGUACAUGCUUUUCUUUGUUUUCCAAGUGAGGCAUGAGGAUCUUGUAUGUGGCAUUUCAAUCACCUGUGGUUGCAAAGCCUCUGUAUGAGGUUGUUUAAUUUGUAGCGUCUCAUCGCACUGCUGACAUUUAUAUUUGAACAUCUUCACAAUUAAGAAGAAAAAAUUAAAAUUGAAAUGGAGGGAGAUGACCUCCAUUUUCCGACUGCUCCUAAAAAACUCGUCGGAGGUAUUUGACGAAUAUAGAUUCAUUUUUACUAUGUUUUAGAUAGCUUGCUCAAGAAGAAAGGAUAUACUACCCCGUCGAACCCUUGAAAUUUACAGGCUGCUUUAGACUUCGUUACGAGAGAAGCGAGAGAAGCGCCCUCAUCUAACUGGCCAAGCGGAUCAGCGCGCGUACAGGAGGUGACCCAGGGAAGCGCUCUCAUCUAACUGACAACCCAUUCUCUUGUUAAGGAGAUCUUUGUUACUACAGAGCUCUCACUGGUUUAUUUGAUUUUGCAGACCUCCAUCAUCAUUGACUUCAGGCAACUUAUAGCCCUUGCCUUCGCCACCGUUCGCUUCCUUCAACUCCAUGCUGCGACCUCUCUGUUCGCCCCUGUUCCCACGGCGGGGGAGUCCCAAAAUAUCAGAUCUCACUCCAGAUUUCUUCCCCGGCACCGGGCCAUCAGUGAAGACGCUUCCAGGACUUCACUUAUUCGUUUGAUCAUUGUUUGUGACCAUCUACUGCAUCUCCAAGGUAAUUGCAUAGUGGCAAUCCAUAAGAAAACACCGAUAUACUGCUCUGUCCUGGUAGGUUGAGUCCGAGUAAUUUGAUCGAAGUCUGAGAGGAAAACGAUACCGAUUGAGGAUCUAACGGUAGUCUAAACACACUUUGAUGCCAGUCGCCACAGGGAAUCGCCUUUUGCUAUUCUUUUGUUUGAAGCCGAUCGGCCAUAGCUGCCGGUAUUCACCUUUUGCAAGAUCGAAAUGAGUAUCUUCUGUUUUGGGUGUGUGAGAAUGAAAACAGAGGCUGAGAAUCUAGUCCUUGCUAACUUGAAAAUAGUACGUGUGAGGGGUUACAUCCGUGAUUGCGAUUCAUCCACGAUAGUUUCGUGUUGAACCGGUUUUGACCUCCACUAAUUCGUCAUCGUUUUGUUAGUCACCUUAGAGUUAAAUUUCCAAGAAUCUUGAUUUUUAAUAUGCCUCACAUGUUUGCGUAUGCGUUUGUCUUAAGAUAUUAGAUCACGGAUUGUCUUUGCUGAAGGCUUCUUCUCUGCGGGUCAUUUGAGCGAAUGCAUUUUCAGCAUAUGCGAAUACAUGCGUCCUCUAUCUACAUGUCUUCUGGGUUUACAUGUCAGUGCUACACAACACUUACUUCCAUAUACAUGGGUUCUACGAUGCGAAUAUAUGAGCUCCGGCAGUGCAGAUACACGAGUGAACGGAUGAAGAAUGACAAGCGAGUUGAGCAAGAAUGAAAGGAGUGUAACGGAGGUUUGAAGAGACGGGAGCCUCCUGAACUUGAGAGUGAUGUUAUAUUUUUCUUGGUUUUUAGGGUAACUUGAUCUCCUAGAUAGUUCUUGAGUUUUUUUUUUUUUUUAAAAAAGGGAAAAAGACAGAAAUUAUAAAAACAAAAAAUGGAGUAAUAGUUAAAAUUUAAAAGGUCGUUAGCAAAUCUCUUAGAUCUACCUCGAGGGAAUAGUUCAUAUUUAGCAUUUAAUAUCAUCAUUGAAGACCUCUAGUAGGGAAUUUCUAUUAGUCAAAAUUAAACUUCGGUUCCAAUUUUAGGGACUUAGCUCACCGGACUUUAGAAAUCUUGGGCUUUCAACUUUCCUAAUGAUGACAUCUUCCCAAAGUAAUCGGAAUUUUUUUUUAAUAUCAAGUACUCAAUUUUUUCAUUAGGGUUUUUAAAUCUCCUGAGGCCAUUUUCUUCAUCGGGCCCCUCUUCAUAGGCUUCACUCCCAACUAUGACUCCUUCCUAUUGAGCUGCUUCACCAAUGUUGGCUUCGACUAUACCUUUUAAGUACAUCGCCGGUGUCUUCCUUGCCUUCUUUCGUGGGUUUUAGGAACCCGUGAGAGAAGGCAAGGAAGACCUCGACGAUGCAGAUGGCAAUCACAAGGGCAUAGCUGACGCUGACAUUGGUGAAGUGGCCUAAUAAGAAGGAGGCAUAGCUGGUGGCGAAUCCCAUUAGGAAGGGCAUGGUGAAGAAUAUGGCCCCUGCCAACAUGAUCAUGUGGUGGAUGUCAAUCCAAUUAGAGGUCCGGCUCGCCAUCAUUGACCCAGAGAAUGAGAUCACAUUGAGCAUCCCCAUUAGGGCAUAACUUGCAUGUCAAUUAUCUUCGGGUCCUCCUUUAUGUAUACCACUGCCUUGCUCAUUGAUCCUAUUUCUUCCCAAUUUUUUUUUAAAAAAAAAAUCUUAUUUAGCAUCACAAUGUUCCCACGUAAACCGUAACUAUACAUACAAGAAGUUGAAAAAAUAAAAAUAAAAAAUAUUUCGUGCCCUAUUUUCCUCCCUUUUUCUUGAAUUUAUUUUCCUUAUUUCGUAGUUGAUCUAUAAAUUCAUAUCCAUUCGAAUUCUAAGUUGUUGAAUUCAUUCAAUAGAGGUUUACCUGAUGCUGUAAGUAUCAAGUUAAAUAAGUCUUUGUUUCAAGUUCUUUAUUAGAUAUUGUGCCCUGUCGCAUAAUUUGAUAUGUGAAGAACAUAUUAAGAAGAGUAGAUCAAGAUGAUGGAAUCUAAUUAGUAGGAGUAAGCUUUGUUGAUGCACGAAUCGAGCAGAUCCUCAAGGAGACGGUAAUGGACCCGAAUGCUUUGAAGGAUUUGCACCGCCAAAAAUAAAAAAGCGGUCGGAUGUUUGUCCGCCGUGGAUCUCCAAUGCCCAGAUCAAUGUCUUUUUUUGGAAGGAGAUGCUAAAUAUUGAGAAGGCAUACAUUGCCAAAGGACAUUUGUAUUUUGUAGAGGGAGAUCAUGGGCUUACUAAAUUGGGCUUAUUCGCAAGUUAGUGUGAACUAUAAGCUUUUUCUUACUUAUAGGGCCCAUUUUUUUUUCUUUUUUUUUCGGCAAGCUUGGUCUGACCAAUGCGAUGCACCAAGCAGAAUUCUCUUCUUACUUUAGUACAGUUCCAAGAGAAGUGGCAGCUUAUUCAAGCUACCACGCAACGCAUAAAGAAGCAACAUGGCAACAUUCAAGAAAAGUGACAAGGUUACGAGUGGCAGGUCAAUAUUCAGGACGAGUGGUCCAUACACAUGAUCUUGUAGAGCUAAAUGCAACUCUACCAAAAUAAAAAAAGUUUGCUCCAUCUUAAAAUAACAAUAGAGCGAUCCAAUGAAAUAGUCAUCAAUUAGAAGAAAAAAAAUGCUUUUCUCCCAUGCUUUUAUGCUUUUUCUAAUCAAAUCCUGAUAUUUUUAAUUUUCUAACAAAAUCCUUAUGCUUUUCCUGUCCUGGCUGCGAAGACUUCUCACCUGGAAAUACCCCAAGGGCUUGCAGAUACAAUGUAAUUUGCCUAAGGAACAAUCAAUGCCGUCUUUUUUCAUUUUUUUAUUUCCGGAUUUUUCUCCAUCUCAUCAUCCUAGAACAGGAAAAUAUGAGUUAGUCUUCUAACGGGUAAGUUAAAUUCAUUUCUUCAUCAAGCUAAGCUGGGGAUUAACUUUUUGCUGUAGUAACUUGUGCCCUCCGGUGCUAUAUCUCCACUGGUACCUUAGCGACUUGCUUGAUUGUUAAAUCAUGUCUCAAAUUUGAGAUGUAUAUGAAACCUAAAAGAAUUUUGAUUUGUUUAAUUUCGGUGUGCGCUUUAAUCUGAGUCAAAUUUGGAUAUUUGGGGCUUUGGAAAUUUCGAUUUUGUUUUCUGUUCGAGGAAGAGUAUUUAUGUUUGGCCGAUUCGACUUCUUGGCUCUUUGUUUAUAUCGCAUGUGGAGGAGGGACUUCUUUUGGCCGUACAAAAGAAGAGGAAGUGGCUCUCAUAUUUAAUAUAAAAUUGUAGGGUCAGUAGAUUUGUUAGGAAGAAAAAUGAAAAGACGUGGGUUCUAAUUUUCUCAUCCCCUUCAGCCGCGCAAAAAGAAGCAAAAAGGUGGAGUCAUCCUUCUAACCACGCGGAGAGGAAGAGGAACACACGGUGAUCGUUUUUAGCGCAAAGAGUUUACAUCCUCGUUCUCUUUCCGGAGAUACGGAUGUUUCAAACCGUAAUUCUCUAUAAGGCUAAACACUGUGAUUUAGGUGGAAUCUAAAGUUCAGAAGGGAUUGAGUAUGUGAGCUACUAUACCAUAUAAUCCUUCGAUUGAUCAGUGGAUAAUUUAUAACUGAUCUUCCCAUAAAGUAGAUACCCACAUUGGGAUUUCAUGCGUCCCUCAUUGUUCCUCGUUGAUUUAUCUAGUUAUUUCGUUCUUACACGUUGAUUUAAUAACAAAAUCCGAUUAGCUUCCAUAUUAAUCUUAUAAUAAUUGGUAUUAGAACUAAAUUUAGAAUCUUUUUGAAUUUGAUUUGGGAUUUUUGCUUAUAUGAUUUAUGUUAAAAAUUUUUGUCAUUGCAACUAUGUCUCGAGCAAAAUAGAAAUUCAAAAAUUUAACGGGAGAAACAACGUGGGCGGAGAAGCGAGAUGAGACAUUGGAUGACAAGGCUUAGUUGCCGGAAAUGAUAAAAGAUGCCAAUAAAGAUGAGCUAAUGAAGAGGGCAACAAGUAUAAUCAUGUCGAAACCAUCGAAUGAGAUUUUAAUAGAAAAGGUGAAGAAGAGAGAUGUCGCAGCAUUAUGAGGAAAAUUUCAGGCUCUUCGUAUGAGAAAGGGCUUAAAUAAUCGUCAUAUAUGUUGAAGAUGAUGUUUUAGUUUCAACAUUCUGAACAUACUUCCACAAAGACCACUUAGAUGAGUUUAUUAAGCUUGUAAUGGACUUGGACAAUGCAACUGAGAUCCUAAUUGAUAAAAAUUAGGGCAUGGCCUCUCUAUCAGAGACAUAAGAUCAUUGUAUUGAUUCACUGUUACAGGAUUGUUUCUCUAAUGAAUAACAGAGGAACUUGCGAGAUGACGGUCCAACACAAAACGUAGCAUGAGGUCAAUCAGUUGCCCUUGGUAGUUUCAAGCCUUCAUCAAUCAUCAUCUGGAUGGUCUAAAAGGUAAAUAAACUUUUGGAAAUGUGUCAAGCGCACCCUUAGCAUGCAAAACUUGCCGAGGAAAUUAAGCCCAUUGUUAUUCCCCACCUCUGGAUCAGAUUGUUUCAAUCUGGGACCAUUUGAUCACGAUAUUAAUCGACGUUCACGAUGUCACCCUUUCUUGCUGUCCAUCCUACCUCUAGUCCGUUUCGGCAUAAUUCAACAAUUUGAUCCCAAUCCUUGCUUUUGUCAAAUGGUCCAAUCUCCACCGUUCAGGAGGAAGUUCACCAUUCAGCUCUCUACAAUCAUCAGCAUAAAUCUCUUCUAAACCAAUUGAAUUAUUGUUUAGUUAAUCGAGAUAUUUCAUUUUUGUGGUGAUAAUUAGCAGGUCAUCACGAUAAUUUUUGUGGCAAUAAUCAGUGUUUAGUGAAUUAAUGAAACCUUAAUACAUUGAAUUCCAGCUUUUCAAACUUGAGAGACCUACUGAGAUUUUAAAAAAAAAAAAACUUUAGACCUACCAUCCUCAAAGUUGAUUAAUCAAAGAUCUCAAUCAAAUUGUCCGCUCUAUAAUUUAUCCAAACCUAACAAUAUUAUUAGCACACUACUCAAGCAACAACCUUCGCUCCAACUAGAACGUGAACACUAACUGCCCAAAUAUCCAAAACAGUCACAAGACUAGUUAUUAAAGGCCUAGCAUACCGAUACACUUCAGGCAAAUGCCAAAUCAGAAUAACCUUUCUCUACAGCAGCUUAUGCACCCUUCGAUGCUAUAUCUUGCUGCAAGCACAAGGGGAUUCCUCCCAACGUCAACAGGAGGAGCAAUAUGCAGCAAGUCAUUCCUAGCUCUCCAUAUAUUGCAUAUGGAAACCAUUCUACAGUAGCUUCAGCGUAAUCAACUCAAAAGCUAGUCCCUGGGCGGCCUGCUUUAUCCAGUGAAGUCCAAAAAUCCAUUUCCCGGGAACUCAAUCGGUACCACAUAGGACUAGAGGUCUCCUCCACAUCUGCGAAGGGAGAAGAGUUUUGUCAAGAGGCUUGCUGUCACCACUUUCUUAUUUCACUGUCUUUUUUCUUUUCAAGUUCAUGUGUACUGUGAGCUAGCUUAGAUUAAUGAUCAACAGCCCCAGACACAGUCUAUUUCCAGCUCGAUUGUUUCGUUCAUUUUAUUUUUUCUUUUUUUCGUAUUUUGGCAUUCUCAAGUUAUUUGUGCAACUUUUAUAGAACCAUCAAUCUACCAAAAAUGGAUAAAGAAACAGUGCCUUGCUGUAUAUGACCAAAAAUUGAUAACAAUCUUCUCAACUGACUCUGAAAUACUGAGUUAUCUGGAGAAUUAGGUCAUCUUCUUCUUUAACUGCUUAAAAAUGACUUCUUAUGGCAUGAAAAAAAAGAGGGACCUAAGGCACAAAUAAUUAGAAGAACAUACCGAAUACCUAAAGCUUGACCUGGUCCGAUAUUGCGCACCUUUGAGAAAAGUAUCAUAUGUAUCGGAAAUCGAUGUGGCACACAAAUGGGUUUUCACAAAAUGGAAUUAAUUACCUCGGACAAAUCCACAUAAAGUUUCUCUUGUGAUGGACCUGGGAGAGGGGGAACAUGUCCUCAGAGCAAACUCCAUUACUUCUGGCAAUUUCACAGAUUCCCAAACUCGAUCACAUUGUGAAUUCAUCCAUCUCUCCAUUGCUAGAAUCAGUCACAUUUUGCUUAGAGAAUUGAGCAUGAACUUCUGGAAACAUCUGAAGAUGUGGUUCGUGGAGGAACUUGCAAAUAAUUCAAGCCUGCAAGAAUAGUUUGUACUAUUGAGGGAAGCUAAUAGAUGAUAUUAUAUCCAAAAUAGCAGCAGAACAUCUAAAGAUUAGUUCAAUUCCUGUUAGUUUUUGUACGUUGAUAAGCUAAUAGAUGUUAACUUGUGUGACAGGAUGACAGUAUAUUCAUUUUAACAGCAGUGACUUACUUGUAGAAUUGACCUCAGUGUCGGGUCCUGGAGACCAUAGAAAACCUAUAGUCAAUGGCAAGUUCUGAGAAUAGUAGUUAUUGCAAUCCAUCUGCUUUGAAGUCCGACCAUUCCAAUGCUUCAUAUCAUAGUCAAGGUACAAAGCACAUUUUAUUUUAUUUAUGGAUCAUGUGUAAACCAAGGUGUACAUUAUACACCUUUGCUUACACAUCAUGUUGAAAAUUAAUUAUGCAAACGAGUGCUAGCAGAUCUAUCAUAAUCCAGAGCUUUAUUAAUUUCCAGCAAAUAUCCACGUGAAAGGACUUGAUGAACUCAACAUAAUUAUCCAACGAUUAGCAGUAUAAUGAUUAUAUAUCUAUUAACUAUGUAGAUAUUUCACCUACAAUUUUUUGGCUACUUCAUAUUCCGCUCUAAUUAGAUUUAACUAUCAUAAAAAGAAAAAAAAAAUUAUGUUCCGUCAUUUGACUAGAUAAAGAUGUACGUGAUAUCAUGAACUAUAUGUUUUGUACUGGCAUCUUCUUCUUCUUUUUUAACGAAUUUUUCUGUUUGAUAAAUCUUAGACAAGAAAAAGAGUGAAUAUCAAGCAAUAUUUAAAGUUUUGACGAAUGAUAGAGUUGUACUAUUUCGCAUGCUUGCCUUUCUAAGUUGACUGCAAACCAUACAGUUAAAGUUUGCUAGGCAUAGCUCAAUAAGUAGAACAUUGUUGAGUAGUGGGUAUUGCAUAUAAGCUCUGUUCCUGGUAUACCUUUUUUCACUAUUUUUCCUUUUCUCAUGGCUCACCCAGUAAGUACUACUUCAAAUCUUUCAUAUUACAUAAAUCGUAUUUUUUUAUAUAUUAUUUAUUAGUUCAUUUUAAACUCUAAAGGAUAAGUGUAGAGAGCGUGAUUUUUAUCUUUGCUUGAUGGAAUAUUAAUAAAAUCGUCCUUUAGUUAUGUAAAGGAUCUUUAUUAAGCCCACUGCUUGUGUGAGAAACAAUUUACACACUCACCAUUGGAUGGUUGACACGUUGAAAAAUUUGAUUACAAAAUUAAGUUCAAACAGUAAAAUAAUGAAUGUUUCUUUUACACUAAUAGUGGACCUAACCAUAAUCAAUAGAUUUAUAUAAAAAAAAAAGUAUGAAUUAAGACAUGCAAGAGAGAGACAAAGAGACAAUGAAGCAAAUGGAACAAGCGAAAAUGAGUAAAUGCGAUGCCUACUACAUGCGUUUCUGUAAAAUGAAAAUUUGAAAAAUAAGUGAAGGGUAGAAGGAAGGCGCACCUUGUUGAAUGGCAUUCCCAUCAUGACAAGAAUCAUCUCUUUGUAGCCCCGGUAAGUACCCUCAUAACUACUUAGUUUCAUGCAACCCCAUACUUCUAUCCUGCAUUCAUUUGGUAUCUUUGAGUUGGAUACAUCAGUCAACCUUUCCAACAAUCCACACCUAGAAAGAUACAAAAAACCUAAAAGCUCCAAUUCCUCAAGGCCCUCAACAACCCGUAGCCCAUUGCAUUGGUAGAUCUGCAAAGCCUUCAGCUUCUUCGAGUUUGAUAAACUGUGCAGCCCUCCCAGGGAAUCGCAGCAGCCAACUCGAAGUUCCUCUAAUGAUUCCAUUGUACUGGGAAAUUGAAUUUCAAGUAGCUUUGGGCAAUCUAAAACUUCCAUUUUAUAGAGCUUCCUCAAGCUUAACGAAAUUAUUGACAGUCGCUCGAGAAACUUGCACUCUCUCACGCCUAAAUUUCUCAAUAGUUCAAGCCCAUCCAAUUGAAUUUCUCUCAAUGGAGAGCUAUGAAGACACAAUAUGGACAAAUUUUUCAAGUUGGAAAAUUGUGGUCCAACAACUAUCGAGUCAAAAUUGUCCAUGCCAGAUAAAGUGAGUUCUCUAAGUUGAGCUAGGCAACCCAACUCUGUUGACGAAAUGGGAAAAUCCAAAAGGCCCCAGCUCAACUUCUCCAGCUUAGAUAACUUUCCAACCCAUUGCAAUUGGAAAGUUUGCAUCGGGUUUGACGGUUGGGCAGGUGCUUGUCCAAAGCCAUUAGACAAAAGCAUUUCCACUAGAUUCGUGAGGUUACUAAGAUCCGAAACUAAUUGCAAUGAUGCUGAGUGAACACGUAGACAAUGCAAACUCGAGGGAAGCUUUGGCAACUCUUGAAGCUCAUUACAAUGUGUCAAAUCCAGCUUUUGGAGUCGUGUGAGGUAAUUGAUUGCCAUCGGCACUGCACUAAUACGGGUAUAAGAAAUGUCGAGGACACUUAAAGAAAAUAGUUUGCCAAUUUGAGUCGGAAAUUCGCCUGCUAGUUGUUCACAAUGUUUGGCAUAGAGCACCUCCAACUUCUCUAGCAUUUCUAUAUUGGUGGGUAACCUCCUUAUUGGACUAAAUCCCAUCCUCAUCACCUUCAGUUGCUUCAGAUUUUUUAUCGAAUCAGGUAACUCAACAAUGCUUGUCCCUGAGAGAUUCAACUUCUGUAAUGAUGUCAAGUUGCCUAUUGAUUCUGGAAGCUCCCCCAAAUUUCGACAAUAUUUGAGUGAAAGAAACUCAAGUCUCGUAAGCUCUCCGAUGGAAAUUGGAAGUUCCACAAUUGGUGUGCCCGAAAGAUUUAGGAAUGAUAGAUGUUUUGCAUUGCCAAUUGAAUCAGGUAAACUUGUAAUUCUUGAGGACGAUAUAUCCAACUUAGACAAUGAUCCUAAUUUCCCUAUAGGGUAUGGAAGUUUCUCCAUUUGAGAGCACUUUUUGAUAGAGAAGUGCAUCAAAUUCACCAAUCCUCCAAUCUCUUCGGGCAAAGUACAAAUAUUCGUACAUCGAAUAAUGUCCAAGUGAGUAAGAACUUUCAUCUUCCCAACAGAGGAGUCAAAUUUUUGCAAGUUUAGACAGUAGUGAAAAUGCAAUGUCUCCAAACUCGGGUAACCAGUCCAUUUCAAUGUUACGAAACCGUCUCGAUAUUCAGGUAAUGUGUCAUAAGGAACUUCCAAUUUUUUUAACAUCUGCAAACGUAGUUAAAACAUUAUUAGAGAGGGGUCAAAGAAAAAAAAAAUACUAUGCUGAGAGAACAAAAGUACAAAUUCAGACUUUCAAAACUUUUCAUCCACCCUGGUUUUUGGUGUUUCUAUCGUGUGAAAGUUCGAAAAUUACUAGAUUUUUCAAGUGCAGAUUUGGUCAUUCUACAAUCUAGAGGAGGAAAACCCCAAGAAAGCCAUCUUAGCUUUAGGCAAUGAUUGUUGACGUCUCCAACAAAAGUCCCUGGCUUUAUUAGCUUUUGACAUGUAUUCAUAAAAAAGAACUUGAUGAACUCAACAUAAUUAUCCAACGAAUUAGCAGUAUAUUGAUUCAAUAUCCAUGAAGUACAUACAUAUUUCACCCAAAUUUUAUUGGCUACUUUGCGUUUCACUCUAAUCAGAUUCAGCUAUCAGGAAAAGAAAAUAUGUUCUGCUAGAUAAACGGAUAUCAUGAAUUAUAUGUUCUGUACAGGCAGCUCUAUUUUUUACCGAAUUCUUUCUAUUUAAUAGAAAACUUGAACAAAUCCUUUGACAAGAAAAAAUUGUAAUAUCAAGCAAUAUGUAAAAAUAGGGCAAAUGAUAAAGUUGUACUAUUUCACGUGCUUGCCUUCUAAUGGAGAAUGCCAAACCAUAUCGUUAGUCUAACAGGCGAAGCAGGAUAAGUAGAACAUUGUUGAGAAGUGGGUAUUGCAUAUAAACUAACUCUAUUUUUGGUAUAUAUUUUUUCACUACUAUUCCUUUUCUCGUGGCUCACCCAAUUGUAACACCUCAAAUCUUUCAAAAUAUAUUAAUUAUAUAUUCUUUCUAUAUAUUUAUUUUUUCAGUUUAAGAUAUGAAGGGAAAUUGUAGUUGUUUAAAAUAAAUAUAUUCAAACAGUUAACUAUGGUUGAGCUUCUACUUUUGUGCCCAUGCUCGAGAUUUUUAUCUUUGGUUGGGGAAAUAUUGAUAGAAUCACUUUCUUGAUAUGAAGGAUCUUUAUUACGUCAAUUGCCAGUGUAAGAAAUAAUUAUACUCAUAAUUUUUUGGUUGACAUGUGAAACAGUUAAUAAUCAUCUCAGGUGUCUACCUUCUAGACUAUUCACAAAGUGCAUCUACGCGUCUAGUUUAACGAGGUUACUCCCUAUAGGCAAAAAUUCUGUAAUUGAAAUUUAAUUUGACUCAAGUGAUAUUUUAGGAUCUCUAUCUUCUACCUUAAACUCAUCUCUCUGCUCACGAACUCCCCCAUAUUUGAAAGAAAAUUUCGAGUUAAUUUGGUUUUAGGGAACGUUUAUUAUUUUCAUUAUAGCACAAAGAUCUCUAGAGACUGCAACUUAUUUUCUGAAAACGACAUUAAUUUCAUUUUGCAAUACUUAAGCUCUUCGAUAUUUGAGAAUAUAUUGAGUUCACGAAAGAUAAAAUUUUCAUCCAACACACUCGAGAAAAAGAAAUUUUCUCACUUCAUCAACGCGAGAAGAAAUUUGGGUCCGUAGAAGAGACCAUACCUGUACGAUGAGCGGUUGGCCACGUUCGAAGAACCGCGCCGCACCCUCCUGAAAGGAAGAAGGCCGAGUAUUGAGAAAUGUUAACAGAGAAAGAACCACACAACGUGGCUGUUUAUGGAACGUAGAAAGAGAGAUAAAAGUAACGGAACAAGGGAAAGAAAAGUCAUGCCUACCGCCUGCGUUUCCGAAAAAUUAAAGUUUGAAAAAUAAAUGAAGGGUAGAAGGAAUGCGCACUUGGCUUAAUCCCCUCCUCGUCCAGUCAAGAAUCUUCCCUCUAUAAUCCCCGUAAUGGCAAAAACCGGAAGCGGGUAACUUCUCACAGUUUUUUACAUCUAUCUUGCAUUCAUUUGGUAUCUUUGAGUUGGAUAGAUUAGUCAACACUUUCAACGAUGGACACGUGAAGAAAUACAACCACCGCAAAAGCUCCAAUUCUUCAAGGCCCUCAAUAACUCGUAGCAUAGGGCACAUGCUGAACAUUAAAGUCUUCAACUUCUUUGAAUUUGAUAAACCAUACAACCCUCCUAGGUAUUCGCAGUCUCUAACUCUAAGUCUCUCCAGUGAUUCCAUUGUACUGAGAAAUCGAAUUUGAAGUAGCUUUGGGCAAUUUUUAACUCCCAUUCUAGAGAGCUUCCUCAAGCUCGAUGAAAUAACUGACAAUCCCUCCAGAAACUCGCAAUAUUUCACAACCAAAUCUCCCAAUAGUUCAAGCCCAUCGAGUUGAAUUUCCCUCAGCGGACAGCAACAAAGAUGCAAGGUGGACAAAUUUUUCAAGUGCAAAAAUUGUGGUCCAACAACUACCGAGUCGAAACUAUCCAUGCGAGAUAAGGUAAGUUUUUUAAGUCGAGGUAAGCAACCCAACUCCUUUGAUGGCACGGGAAGAUCUGAAAGGCACAACUCCAAUUCCUCCAAUUUGGAUAACUUCCCAACCCAUUGCAAUUGAAGAGUUGAUGCCUCAGCAAGUGCCUGCCCAAAUUUGUUGGACAGUUUCAAAUUCAUUAGAUUUGUGAGGUUACUGAGAUCCGGAACUAAUCGCAAUGAUGCCGAUUGAAUAGAUAGACAAUUCAAACUCGAGGGAAGUUUUGGCAACUCUUGAAGCUCAUCACAAAAUGAUAAAUCCAGCUUUUGGAGUCGCGUGAGAGAAUUGAUUUCCAUCGGUCCUGCACAAACACAGAUAUGUGAUAUGUCUAGGAUACUUAGAGACAACAGUUUGCCAAUUUCAGUUGGGAGUUCACCUGCAAGUUGUUGACAAUAUCGGACAUUGAGCUCCUCCAACCUCUCUAGCAUGCCAAUACCGAUAGGCAACCUCUGUAUUGGACAACUUUCCAUCUCCAUUACCUUCAAGUGCUUGAGAUUUUUUAUCGAAUUAGGUAACUCAACAAGUUUUGUUCUUGAGAGAUCCAAAUUUUGUAAUGUUGUCAAAUUACCUAUUGAUUCCGAAAGCUCCACAAAAUUUUGACAAUUAGAGAGUGAAAGGAACUUGAGUUGUGUAAGCUCUCCAAUAGAAAUCGGAAGUUUCUUAAUUAACGUGUAUGAUAGAUCAAGGGAUGAUAGGUUCUUUGCAUUACCAAUAGAAUCGGGUAAACUUGUAAGUUUUGUUUGUGAUAUCUCCAACUUAGACAAUAAUAUUAGUUUCCCGAUGUCUGGAAGUUUCUUGAUUUUGUGACAUCCCAGGAUAGAAAAGUGCUUUAGAUUCACCAGUCCUCCAAUCUGUUUAGGCAAAUUUCGUAGUAAAUAACACCAAUGAAUUUGCAAGUGAGUAAGAUCUUUUAGUUUCCCAAUAGAGGAGUCAACUUCUUGCAAGGAUUGACCGUGAUCAAGAGAUAGCAUCUCCAAACUCAUGCAUCCAGAAAAGUCUGGAGUCUGCUUCAAACCAUUACAAUACCUAAGAGAAAGAACUUUCAAUUUGUUUUCCAUCUGCAAAGGUCACUGAAAUAUUAUCAGAGAGGAUUAAACAGAGAAUACUACGUGUAUUUAAUAGAACAAAAGUACGAAUUCACACCUUCAAAAUGUUCCAUCCGCCCCAGUUUUUGGUGUUCAUAUUAUAUGAAAGUUCAAAAAGUGCUAGAUUUUUCAAGUGCAAAUUGGCCAUUCUACAAUCUAAAGGAGGAGAGCGCCAAGAAAGCCAUCUUAGUUCUUGGAGAUAAUUGUUGAUGUCUCCGGCAAAAGUCCCAUUAUAUAACUUGAGAAAUUUUAGAUUUGGCAUCCUCUCAAGUUCUUCAUCCACAAUGCUGAUGGGAUCCGAAUUAUAUUGACCUAAAUUGAGUACUUUAACUUUGUCCUUUCUCUGCCAAUAGAAACCAUCAACGAGUAUGAGCUUACAAACAUUAAUUUGUCCAUUAGAAUGCCUAAAAGGAAUAUCUUAAAUGGGAAGUGGAAAAUAAUUUCAUGGUGGAUAAUGUAUGGAUCCUACUUUUACUUUACCUUUUUUGAUCUCAUUACUUCCAGAGCUUCUUUGUCAUUCCACAACCUAUUAAGGGUACAUUCUUUUCGAACAAUGUCUCUUCCGAGGUCUCUCAGCUGAUCAUGCAUCCAUAUAGCAUCAUCGCCAAUGAUUUUAAUUAGACACAAAUCAGUAAGUUUUUUUAAUGAGUUAUGGGGAUAAAGACGGCAAGCAUCCCAAAAAUAGGUUGCCCAUAAUUUCUUUCCAGAUAUGAAGAAGCAUGCAAUAUCAAGAAAAACUUCUUUUUCCACAUCUCCUAAUGCAUCAUAACUUAUCUUCAACUUACCCCGGACUUCAUCAUGAGGUACGUUCUUCAACAUUUCUAGCAUUUCUUUCCAUAUUUCCUCCUUUUGGUCAUGAAGAUAGGAACCUAUGACUUCAAGAGCCAAUGGGAGUCCCCUGGUCAUAGAUACAACUUCUUGAGAGAGACUU